GCCAGGGCCAUCAAGGCAGCGUGUAACAGGCAGCCUUUACGUUCGAGAAACGUGGCCAGUUUUCCGCCCCGUUCUUUUGCUUUCUCGCUCUUUCCAAGGUUGUCCGUCUUCGUCGCGUUUCCCGCAGAAGCCGUGGCCUUCGAGUUGCGGAUCGAACGGAAGCUGAUUUUUCUUCUGCCAGCUCGAUUGGGGAGGAAGUGGUAAGGUGAUGUCGAGUUGGGUCAUUUUGAAGGUUCAGAAAUGUUGGUUAAUUGGCUAAUAAAAUUUAGAAACGAGGAUUUAGAUUUCUGAUAACGAAAGUUAACAGACAGCGCAUCGGUUAAAGUGUUAAGCAACAUCAAGCAACUACUCCGAGUGACUCGUUCCCAACGUAGAAUCGUCUGCGACACUAAUGAGCGUUGCGUGAUAGAACUCGUCGCAGGUGAGUGCAUCGGACGUCCCUACACACGCGGCGCUCCUUCCGGCCGCGCAAUCUUUCUUUCCUUCGAUUUUUCAUCGGCUACCAUGUCCACUUAGAGGUCUAACUAAAGAAACCCAUCGAAACUCUGAACAGCUUCAUUUUUUUCUGUCAAAUAAUUUCCACGUUCAGGCUCGUUUCGAAGCGCGUCGAACGUCGACCAGUUCGACUUCUUCGAAAAUGGAAAAAUCGAAAAGAUCGUCCGUGAAUAUCGGCCGCAGACCGAUGGCCGGAUCUCGUUCAGACGCGUUCGCUGCGACAAACAGCCGUAAUCGUACACCCGAGUAUUGUUUACCGCGAAACGAUGGUAACAUGAACUGAAAACGCAGCAGCGGUGAUUCCCACAUUCCCGGAAUAGCGUCACGCCGACGGGGCCGGCUUCCAUCCCCGUUCGCCAGCAAUGCCACCUUUCCCUCGGAAGUCUGUCGAAGCGACGCGACCGGCCGUAACCGACUGGAUGCAUCCGAGCGGACGGAAAACCGCGAGACAGCGACGACGAACCAAUUAUCUGGUUCAACUGGUGGGGUGCUAACGUUUGGAUGAAACGAUCCGAAGGGUGUAUCUUGCUGUAACGAGCUGAUCUUCGAGACCAGACAGACUACGAUACCGUCUGCGAAAAGGUGACGAGGAUUUUUCACGUCGCUCCUGUAAAUUUGCAACGGAUCGAUCUUUACGGAGGCGAAGAGGAAAGGAAAGAUGGAUGGAAAAGCGAAAAAGCUACGAAGGAGAAAGGGAGAGAGUCGAGUAGGUAACCGACGAAACGGCCGGAACAAACAAACCAGCAAACAGGCGAGGAAAAAGCAAGGAUCCGCCGUCUACGCGGCGCCUGCCCUCGCGAUUUUCGAAUUCUUCACUCGCGCGAUCGGCAUCAGAAUGUCGCGUGGGUACUCGUUGAAUGAUGCCCGAGCUUUUUCAACCGAGUAUUCGUUUUAAUACAGAGCUAGGAUAUUUACUGAUAGCGUUUACUUUCACGCGAUCCUUUAAAUCGGUAGGCUUUUUGGUCCUUCAGGAACGCGUCGAACCACCCCAUUCGUAUAAACUAUCCUUUUCUCUCUUUCUCUCUGUUUCAUUCUCUCAUCCCCGUUUACCGAAACUAUCAAUUGAUGCCGAGGUCCAAACAGAACGGCACGGUUUACACAUACGCAGCUGCACCCCCGAACAGCCAGAUCCAAAUAGAACGGAUAUAUCUGCUUGUCCAUCUGUCGUUGUGUAACGGAACACCGGCUAAUAGUAUUAGAAAUAUAUAUAUAUAUAUAUCUUCGACUAAACAACCCUAUUGUCGAACCACUCGAUCGACGCACCCCUGUCCCUCUGCAGAUUACGUCUGUAAACGCUUGUGUCGCGGCGGCUUUCGAUCGUUGCGUUACCUCGCUCCGAUUCAACCCCCGAAAAUCGGCUAAAGCGGUUCAUUGUGAUCAUCGACACUGCGAGUGGUUGAAUCACGAUUCGAUCGUGACGACUCGUCGCUUACGGAUUUCCGGUUGAUUCUGGGUCAACCCGACGGUUCUACAAAAGGAACCGGAGAGAAUUCACUUGGAAUAGUGUGAGAUUACAAAAUCGAGGACAGAUUUCUAAUUUGAUGAAGAUUUAAAAGUUAAAUGGAAUACAAGUAUGGGGCUCUUCUGUUGAAAAAUUGUUUUAUGAUAUUCUGUUACAACAGUCCUAGUAUUUCCAUUGCAAAUAACAUAAAGGAAAGAGUACCUUGUACUCUUCUAGAAUUUUAAUUAGAAUUUCAACAGAGGCUACGAUGCAAGUUUAGAAAGAAAUUUACUCGGUGUAAUAGAAUUUGACGCCUUUCAAACACCUUAGACAUUCUGGAAUUAAAUUAUAGAUAACGUCUCUGCUUAGAAAUGUUUCAAUGUUAAUAUUUCGAAAAGAAAAACAUCAAAGAUAUUCAAGCAGCGCAAGGUAUCAUCCCUUUUACGGUUGCAUCACGAUUACGAACGUACUCUGUAUGAUGGUUGAUCGUAGGUUGGAUGCAAUCGUUGCCAAUUACUCGGUUUCCCCGGGAGUCGAUUUCUCUCCGAGGCACGUUCUUGUCGUGUUCGAGCAGAAAACGUUCAGUUAUUCGAUUCGUGGCGAGAGGUACGAUCCCUUAACCGUUUUCAACGAAUGCAACAACGUGAAUCUGAUCACGGAAUAACGAGGCGAAAGUGGGAACACCUAAUUGUUCGACGGAUCUGUUGGCGAAGGAACCCUCGAACCGCUGAUAUCCUACAAUUAUCCGGCUACGGUGUGCCUCGGAUCAGAACAGUCUUGCAACAACACACGCCGAGGGACCUCGAUUGUAUUUCUAGGAGGCCGGUUACCGGAGUCUGUCGGAUAACAUUGGUACUCCUUAGUUCGUUUCGUGUCGCCAAUGUGAAAAAUUCUUGUUGCUGUUGAUUGAAUUUGCCAUGGAACUUCUUGGAAACACAAUUCAUCAGGAUAUGUCAGAGAUUUCAACCCCAGCCCCCCACGACGGGGUGGAUUUCGAUUCGCGAGAAGGACGGCAAAUGGAGACACCCUCUAACUUAUUCAAAGGCACAGAAGGUUGGCCAUACGAGCGACCAUAGGUGAACACAGCAGUCGAGUGGGUGGAAAGGGUGCAACUGGGUGAAGCAGACACCAAUGGCGAGUCUAGGACAAGUCGGGCUACGUGGAACGUCGUGGAUUUACCUAAUACUCCUGUGAUUCCCGUGGUGGGGUAAGUACUCAAGGCUUCCAACAUUAUCGCCGGCGCAAAAUGGUGUCACUCGGGGUUCACCUUUCUUCCACUUUCAUCCACAUGAAAGUUAAUACUACCGGUAAUUAAAGUUAGGUAAAACAGAAAUAAGUCGCGUGUCCUCGUAGAGGGGUUGUUUUAAUGACGAGAGAAAAAUAGGCUGAGGAGAGAGGCGAUUGAAAAUAAUACAACUGUGUAAAGACAGCGUAUACAAACUAUUUAUAUGUUAUUAUUCGCUAUCUUUGUAAGACUUCGAUGCAAAAAGGGGUGAGUCACGACAAAUUGCCGUUUUAUUCCGCGACGUUGCGAAACAUUGAUGAGCCACGAGUCGCUGUCACCAACUUUCACCCGAUCGACCUCGGGAAAAUAAUUUUUUCCCUCUAAAAGACGAGGGUAAAAAAACAUUUUCUGUUAAUUGAACAUCGUCGAACGCCGACGCGAAGCUGAACGUAUCAACGAUACCGAUAAAAUUUUGAUAAAAUAUUACGAAAACUACCCAGGAAUUGUUAAUUAUGAGAAAUUCUGUAUGGGGAACAGAAGCUCGGUCGUGCGGGGAUCGCGUCACGAUGGCGUCCAGGGUGUUUUUCGGGGUUCCAUGGGGAGGCGGUCGUUUCUCUAUUGGCGCUCACCUAGCCGGCGGUUUUUAGCUGAACUGCCCCGAAGAAAGGAGCCCUUGUACACGCCGCCAACACAAAAUGUUUCGCGCUGAUGCACGAGCACACCCUCCGUCAGAGGAGAGAGAAAAAAAAAAAUAGCGUGGAUCAUAAUGGAAACCCCCUCUCCUGUCUCUUUUUGCCGAACGCGUGUUCCACCCCCCUUGAACAGCACGCGUGUACCAUCGAGAAUUUCCGAAAUAUAUCCCUAUUGUCGGCCGAAGAAUGGCCGGAAUUCUCGUCGCCUUUCUCCAUCUUCCAUGGUUUUUCACAGAAAACCUUGGUAGAUCGUGUUUCCGUGAUUCUUUGAACACGACUACCCUCUGCUCCCCUAUUGACACGUAUUUUCUUUUUUUUUCCUCGUCGAUAGAAUAAUUUCCGCAUUCGAACGACAAGAAUUUUCGUCGAAUUCUUCGAGGAUGGUUAGGGUAAAAUGUAGACAAAAUAAUAAUGUCCAUGUCUGGAACAGAUCUAUAAAAUCCAAGAGAUUUUCCGAAACUGCACGAUCUUCGAUUUUCGUUCCCGCAACAAGAGAAAUCGCAAACGAAACGAAUCCUGCCCGUUUGCCUUCCCACUUAAUAACUCUUUCCUGCGGCGAGCAUAUCGAAAGAGAGGAGUAAAAAUGGCCGUUGGGUGGAAGAGAUAGGAGAUAAGUCGCGGCUCAUAUCGGCAUUAUUCGAGGCCGGGAAUCAUGCAAAUUUCACGGAGCGGAUUAUAACGAAGCGAACGCCGGGAUCCGCGUGGAUCCGGUGGCCGAUAAAGAGAACACGGUUAACGAGUUAUGAUCGAAUAAUGAUAAAUUCCUCUUACCAGCUACCAGCUGCUCGCUGGAUCGUUAAGCUCGGCCAAGCAACGUCCCACCUCGACGCGGCUGUUUCGAGCUUUUUCUCCUCGCUCCCAUCGCGAUUAAUGUCUUCAUGAAGUUCUCCAAUGAUACUCUCCAACAGCGAACCUUUGCCAUUUUCGUUUUUUAAAUCGUAGAGUGUUAAAUAAAAUCGCGAAGCUUUAUCCAGUGAUCUUUGAAAGCUUCGUGCUUACAGUUCGAACGUGGUGGAUUUUGAAAUUGAAAAAUUAUCCGAUAUGCAACAACGUAAUAAUAUUCUUCGAGGCUUUCAGAUCCGAGUUCGCCUCGAGAGUUAAUCUAAUCUUCAGAUAAGACUGCAGGUAACUUCAUCGGUGAUCGGAGGAUGUUGUGGUACAGUAUCAUUAAUUAUAAGCAAUUGCUUACAAGCUUGUGAAACGUUGAUAGGAUCGGUGAAUAGACAGGGUGUCCUAUUUGUAAUAACCACCUUGAAUAGUUCAAUCACUUUCGGUAUUUUUAAAUAAAUUAUCUUAGAUUUUGACGUUCGGACAAAUUUCCAGUGAAUCAAGUUCGUAAUUCUUUUAUUUUUCACUUGGACGAUGAUUCAAUUUAUUCUUCAAUGAAUAAAUUAAAAUUACCUGAGUGAAAGAAAAUUCUUAAAUGGAUGGAAAAGAAGAAUACGAGAUUUCUAGGUGCGCGUGAUUUCACGUGGAACAACUCGUGUAACGUGGUGACAUGUAAGGCCCCCGCCUCCCCGUCGCUACUGGAAAUAACCCCUUAUUAUUCGAAGCACUCCCACCAUAGUGUACGACCGGCAAACCGCGGUUCGCCAUUACGAAACCGCGUUUCCACCGCUGUUCUUCGACGUCUGUUAUUAAUUCCGUGUAGACCUCGAUGACGUGCCUUAUGUUAUAAAUUCACGUCGCUGUCGGAAGGAGGAGCCGGUGAAAUCGGCAGGUUCGCAGGCUAAUUUCAUCGUUCUCGAAUGAACCGAACGUUCCAAUUUCAAUUAGCAAAAAAUUUCUCCUACAGAAUUCCGCUGCUUGUCGAUCAGCCGACGAUCGUAAACAGCAUUAACUCGGUGAAAAAAGGUAGUCGUCGGUUGGCGAACGCGUGGCAAACAAGUCAUUUCAUGAAUAACAAGGAUGAUUCCAACAAUAGGGUGCAAUUACAGCAGGAAUAACCGGGCUGUCGCAAUGCUCGCUGAAGGGCCGAGCGAACAAAGAGACUGCGAGUCCCGAAUUUCGCAACGCCGCGAAACGUGACGCGGCAAAGGGACAUCGGUUUGCGCUUUCCGGCCACUAACAGGCCUGUCGACGAGGGUACGGGACGUGCAGGGAGGAAGAAGAUUUAAGCAGAAGCUUGUGUGGACAAGCCAGAAAAUUAGCGACAUCCGCAUUCAGCGCUAAAUCGUUCCCCGUGUUCUCCUCUUUCUAUUGUCGCUAGCUCCUCGACUGUGAAACUUUUGUUAAGGCCUCGCUCGAGGGUUUUCCGCGGAACCAUCGUACUUCCAUGGUCCUGGCUAAAUUUUACCCAUUAUCCCGUUGAAUCGAUAAACCAACGCGAUUCGAUCGUCGCGACAUUUUUUCAUUUCUAGACAUUUCGGAUCUUUCCAUCAAAUAAUUUCAUAAAAUUCUCGCCUUGCUUUCUGUGAUUAGCCAACAGCGACAGCAACAAAGUGUCCGAAGGGGGUGAAGUUGAGCCGAGACCGACGGUCCUCGGUUUUCUGGCUGUUCUGUUAUUUUUCUAUUAUUAUUGCAACGGUGGCUGGCGUUGACGGCGGUGAAGAUUGUACGCCGGAGAAAGGCGCGGCCCUUUUUAUUUCAACAUUAUCCUUUUGUGCCGGACCCAGAGAGUCGAAGGGACGGAAGCGUGGCAAAGAAUUUCGCGGCUAGGCAGAGGAUGAGGGGCGGCGGUGGCAAGGGAGCGGGCUUCCAGAAUUCGUAAACCGGCAUGAGAACCCGCGGAAUGCUUUCACAUAAAGACGCAACCCCAUAAGACUUCAUCCCCCUUUAUGUGGAACGUUCUCGCCCCCAAAAAGCGCGUCCCACCGACCACCACUAACUCUCUCUCUCUCUCUCUCUCUUUGUAUGUGUUUGUGUAUACGUGAGGUAGAACGUACAGCUCAGCUACGGGAUCGAUGUUUCCUCCUUCAUCGGGGAGUGUAGCUCGUGCGUAAAAACCAACCCCCAAGAUCCACCCCAGCUACCCGUUUUCUUCGUUCACAGAACCAGUGUCGAGGGAAAGAAAGAGAAAUCGCGUUGAUUAUUUACUCGCUUAGAUUUCGUGGUUGAGAAAAAAAAAGCGAAAGAAUUUCCAUUUCCAUCAAACUCAGCAAAAAGACGAAUAGUUACAAUUUACGCUAACAGUCGAUUUUCACCCUUGCCUCUUUUUUGCUAGUAAUCAGAGCAAUCUCGAACACCGAUCUUCAAACUUUAUCUCUCCUUCGAUUCGUCUCUUCAUCGACGAAGGGUGCUGAAGUUCAAGGACAGAAAAUGUUUCUUCCAUUAACGGAUUUGAUUAGGAUAAUGGUUUCUUUUUCUCUGUAUUUACUCCCAGUUCGGUGUAUCUUGGUGUUUAUUAGACCGUCUCGUUCCGUGAUCCUCAGAAGCUGAGGGAACCAGAAACAUUCUUCGAGCCUUUGUCCGUUUACGAUCCGCCUGCCCUCCCAAGGGGUGGCUUUUAUCCUUGGGCGGAGUGUACAGUGAGUCACGAUAAUAUUCGCACUACCCCUACUCGUUCAUUUCGAACGAUCGCUGCCGCUCUCGUGCGAACGCGAUGGAGGCGCCACCGACAGGGGUCGUCGAUUGGAUUAUCAAUGAUAUUUUGCUGCGAAACGGAUUUGUGAUAUUUAUGGUAUUUCUAUCGAAGCUAGACAUUUCAAACGAAAGAGUUCGAUGGAAUAUGAGAAUGAAAUUGAAAUGGUGGCCGUUCGCAACGGUCCGCCGUCGGAGGGUUAACAAGAUUCCGAUUAAUCGGUAGGGAGCGGGCAAAGAGGAGCCGACCAGCCAAGUUUUCCCGGCGUCCGAGUGGUCCAGAUAGCCACGGGGAUGGCUCCUCUUUCUAUCCAGGCCCGUUCUUUUUAUUCCCUGAUGGCUGUCAGGAGCGCUGUUGGCCAUGGCGCCACCAUACGCGGCUCAGAAACGGUGGAACGGAGAAAGAGAAGGAGCUCUGGGAGCCGGCGUUGCGUCGAGAACGGACGAAAGUGCACGCUUGCUGGUCGUUUUUUAAAAAUAAAAUGGCGGCCGCGCCGAGCGACGUUGCAGGGGACGAAGAAAAGGGUGAAGAAGAAGAAGGGGAGAAGUGAGGGCAGGCGGAGAAGGAGGAAAGGAGAGAGAAGGGAGAGCCGAGAGAGGACCACCGGAGAGCCGUUCUGCGAUUAGACUUACAAAACAAACGGCCCGCCGGUCCGGACCACGCAGACCAAUGGCGUAGCACACCGAUCCCGACAAGGGACACGAGAUAAUUGGAUCAAGAACCCAGCGAGAGAGCGCCUCGUAAUUUUCGAUCGGACCAAGGUCGACGACCUUGACUCCCAGCACGCACCGUUUCGAAAUCCUUGCGGAUAGAAUGGUCCGGGAUCCUUGCCAUUCGACUUACAGCUACGGAAGCUUUCGAUCGAUCGGGUUAUCUCCUUCCUACUGGUCACCGAUUGUCCAACUUAAGAAUUUCCAAAUUUAUUUUUACAUAGAAGCUUCCUUAAAAGAAUACAGAAAUCUUCAAGUAAUUUUAAAGAGUUAAUAAUCCUACGCUAAAGCACCCUCAGAUCUUUAACCCCACUCCAGAUUACCUCAAAAUUGACACCUGAAGUUUUCCUCUCUAAUCCAAGUCCACCCCUAAGUCUAAGACUAAACCACCCCAAGACACUGGAACAGAAGGUAUACCCUCGCGACAACGACACACAUUCCAUCCCUCUGGUGGCCCAAAUCGUCGUCUCUCGCGCGAUUAAACCAGCAAGAAAAAGAGGUCCACGAUCGUUGGUCCGGGGAUCGAAGCAGAAGGUGGCUCUCCACGACAACGUUAACUCUAGGUGGUGCACCCUGGAGAAGAGAGGGGUAGCAGAGAGAGAGAGAGAGAGAGGGGGGUAGGGUGUCCACCUCCUAGAAACGCGUAGUAGCCUCUAGCCUCUAUUGAUCGAACUGCCCUGGGCUCCAGUGGAGUGGACUGGACACACCAGCGGCAACCCCUAACCUAACCAUCUCCGUAGGGUGUGUGUACAUGUACGUGUUUGUCUGCACACGAACUACGCUAGCCGAAAGACGGCCAAAACGAUCCUCGAGGCUGGUCAUCCCGGGGGUGGCGGGACACUUGGACGCGUGGCUGGAAAGCCACCCCCUCCUGGUUCUACGAGUUCUCGCACACGGUUGUGUGCGACCGGGUAACACGUACACCCACGGCUUUAUUGGACCCAGCGGGUAUUGAGCGAAGGUGAUCGCCUGGUAGAAAGCGAAAUAUGAAAUUCCACCGCACACCGUUGCAUCGAAAUUCGUCUAAGAAUCGAUUCGAAGUUGAAUUAAACGUGGCGAUGGAUUUUUCUACGGUGAAUUUAAUGAGGAAACGGUCGCGAUAAAUUCGAACACCGUUCGAACAAAGAGCCACGAUGAAAUCGAGCCGAAGCGUGGACAAAUUAUGAUCGCUGCCGAUUUGUUGGCUCGACGUUGGUUAACCGGCUGAAUUUCAAUUGCACGCGCCGCUCGAUUGAGCACGAAAAAGACAAACAAGCUGGUAAUAACGCGGCUCCGAACCGAUAGUUAAUGGAACUGUCAACGAUAUCGCAUUAUAACUGGAAUUGUCACGCGACAACCGCGUUGCACGAACCACGGAUUUUCAAGCAACCCCUCCGCCGCCCACCCUUCGUUUCGAUGAAAUCGAUCGUACGAUUAAUCGACGAGGAGGCAGAUAGAAGGAAAAAAAAGCUUCACCGCUUGUCGCGUGAUCGCGAAUUUUCCUCUUUUGCCCUCGCUGAGGGAAAGCCGCAACCCCUGCGAGCUUUCGAGAAACCUCCGAGGAACGCGAGUUUGUUUUGCCUUUACCCUGGGAAAAAAAGGAACGUGACUAAGCAUUGUUUGCACGAUCGUUCUUGAGUGGCCCCUUCGUUCCUCUCUCGUCAAAUAAAGUUUCCUUUAUUUUUCUCGUAGUAUUUUCAUCUUUGAUUUUCAAAUUCCACCGUUCCCGUUAAUCGAAGAUGAAUAUAAUAUGCGAUAAGUCGCGCGGAUGUAAGAAAUCUCGUGGCAGAAUCUGACGGGCCACGGAACAGCGACAGGAAUUCCGGUGACUUUCUAUUCAAAUAUUAUCGGGCAUAGUCACGACACGCGAAUCACGACCGCUGGAAUAGUUCAUUAUGGACAGUUGUAUGGUAGCGGUUGCUGCACCGGAGGCGAUCUAUUUGCCCAUGGAUACCGGUUCCCCGAUAUCUUACCACUCGGAUAAUCGCUCCGGAUCGCCAGCGUGUCCGUACAGAUUAAAGGAGUGUUCCCCUGUCGUUGAUCUUGUUAUUGUUUAAUACCGGCGGCUGGGAAACAACAGCGGUAGUCAACUUGUAGUUGUUCGAAUCGGUGUAUUGUUUAUUAUACAACAGGGAGAAAUAAUACCUGAAGUCAAUAUGCGAAAUAACAUUUGCUCAUAGGCGAAUAUCAAUUUUUAGUUUUAGAAAAAUUGUGGAAAAUUGAAUUUAGAGAAGUUUGAAAGGGGUGAGAAUCUCGCGAUCGGAAAACGACUAAGGGGCCAUUAUCGAAUUCACUUAGAGGGCUCGAUCGACGAGGCUAUUAUCGAAUUUACCUAGCGUGGCCAUGGUAGGCAAAGUGCAUCCACGACAUCAAGUAAACAAGGUUGCAGCUCGUACGAAGUUAGCCGUGCACAGGUAUGCUGGCAAAAUUCGGGCCAACUUGCCAUUAUCGUGAAACAGCAUUGUCCCGUGGCCAACGUGGACGUUAUUGAAUCGAAUUACGAGGAGAUCGAUCCUCUGCCAACGAUUUCUUUCCUAUAAAAAUGCUAGAAGAAAGAUUUUAAACGAUGACACUAUACGAUAUUGUUCCAAAUUGACCCAUGACAGUGUGAAUUCUUCAAAGUCUAUUUAAAUCCAACUCAUAAUUCCAUAAUUCAAAAUUCUUCUUAAGAUUUACAAGAAGAAUAAAUCAACAAAUCCUCGUGUCGUGUCCAUUCCUCUUUCCAAAUCCUUCCAGAAAAAAGUGGCGUUGUUGAACAACCCCGAAAGGCGCAUGGGGGUGCUGUAGGAAACACGCGUCUACGUCCCCGUAUCCAAGGGUCGAUUUUGGUCGUACUCUGGUCGAUAGGAAUGGAAGAUGCUAGGCGUCCCUUCCAGGCGCCUUUCCCGUCAUCUAUCACUCGUCGCUACUCACCCCCUUCGCGUCGCGAGCAAGAGGGACGCGGUUGGGAGGAGGCGUCGAGCCACGGGGUCGUAAGUCAACGGGGGUGGUGGUUAUCAGAGCGUGGAGGACAGAGUCCGUGGAAGCUGCCGCGACUCCUGGACGUUUUACUGGACCGUGAAAAUCAAGGACGAAACUAGGGAUCUUGUACCUUUUUUUAUGCGCUCUUGAAUUUUCGAUGAAACUGAAGAAAUAUGUUAGCGACAAAAUUAAUUUUCUAAUUAGCGAGAACUUCUAACAAUUUUCAAGAGAACCACGGUGGAAAUGAAAAUUUUCCAGGAGGUUUCUUAGCCACGAUAUUUGGAACGCGACCACUGGGGGUGACAGAAACAUUUGCGAGGGUUGUUUUCGUGGGUUCGAAACGAAGUUGGUUAGUUUCUUUCUGUAGUUGGUUUUGUUGAUGACACCGACGUUGUAACCAUUUAUAGAAUUUAAACAAUUGUUUCCAAAAUACCAACCCCCAAAUAUCAUCCCUUUCUUGUAAGAUGCGUAAUAGUAAUGUUUUCAGAAACGAAAUGUGAUUCGAUCCAGGCGAAUGUUUAAACAAACGAGCAAUUAUCUUAACUCGAUCUCGGAUCUUCAGGGUGUCCUGAUCCUGAAUUAUCGGCCUCUUUCUUCCGCAGGUUAACUCGCCUUCUUCUUCAGCCCGCUCUCCUUUCUCUUUCUUUCCUCUCGUUAAGGCCCCAUGGCAGGAUCGUUCGGGGUUCCGAAGAUGUCGUCGGCCCCGACCACGUAAAAAGCACCCGGGGACACGCAUUUCAUUUGCUCCUCGUGUUGAGCGUUGUCCUUCUUCGUGUUCUGUCGACCGCAGCCCCCUUUGCUAACCGUGUUCGUGCCCUAUGGGGGUUACUGUAUACAUCUCGAAGAUAUUUCUCAUUAAAAUUAAAUUUUCAUAUUUUCUAUUUAAAUUUAUGACACCCUUCAAGGAUUCAGAUACAAAACAAUCAUCGAAGUAUCCAAAACAGACAAACUCUCGCUUACAGAUCCUGACGAGAUCCAAAUAAAACAUAACGUACCCUGUUUACCUACCCUACCGUACCCUAACGGUCCACCCUAAUUCUGUUCAUCCCUCGCUCACGCGAAUCCAGUCCGCAGCUACAAACAGCUCAAUCAAGAAACCGUAAACAACCGAAACGUAGGAUCAGGAUCAAGUCCCGAGGGUGAAAGAAGAAAAAAAAAAAAAAAAAGAAGAAUCAUCUGACCCGAUCUCGACCAAUCCCUAUGCUCGACGAGUAGUCCUUCAGCGAACGAGUGUGCCGCAAAAAUCGACGGUGACAUAGAUUCUAUAAAUCCCUUGUAGAAGGAAGAAGGCUGACGAUUCGAGAAACCGGGUCUCGCAUUCCACGAGAUUUUUUGCCGUCCAUAGGAAGGAAUUAAAGGAUAACGCUACGCGACGAAUCCUUUCUACCGGCUUCCCUUUUUCUUCGGUCAGAUCUACGGCCGGUUGGCCAUAGGCUGGUACAAUACUAUUGUCAGAGGAACAGAAGGAGGAUGCGCCGAGCCAGACAGUCGUAGAAACCAUUUCGCGGACGGUUGAUAGCAGGACAAUAAACGAGCGGUAACCAAGCGGACAGGCAGAAGUAGCGAGAAGGUUCAAGCGGGCAGGAUCUGUUUAACGGGAUGAUCCGUGCGGAAAAGAAAGGAUCGCGGCCGACGUCGAUCAUUUUUCCCAGCAUUUCAGGCCUAAUUUCCUUCUGACAAAGAGAGCACCCUGCGCAAGCUUAACCCCCGUGGAACAUUGCCCUGAAAGCAAGCUUGUAUUCGAAAGCUGGUGUACCAAUUACAGGGUCGUACUAGAAAUAUAAUAUUUCUUAUCUUCCUGUUUUCGAAGAUUCCACCUUGCCGUGCGAUACUUUUUGUCUAGUCGAGCGAGUACUGCGUUCGAAUAUCUUCAGCUUCGUCCUCUGAAGCGGACCACGGGCUUCCCUCUUCCUAUUUCCCUGCCGGAGGACUCUGUUCGAAGAUCGGCUCUCCUUUGAUGUCCCUAUCGCGUCCUCUUUGUCUUUGGUCCGCUCGUACCUCGCUUCUAACCCUUCCUACCUUCCACUUCUGUCUCGUGUGCCCCUCUGUCGUUCGUUUUUCUGUGUCGCGCGUGCGUUCCCGAUGAUUAUGGUGAUGCCGUGUCCUCGUGCGUGAGCUUCUUUAUGGUUGAUUGGCUCGACCGUCGACGUAUAUUGCCGCGAACGGCUCGGCACCGCCGCGAUAAAGCGCGAUCACAGGACUGCUAUGGGAACGCUUUUCAAAGGGACGUCACUUGGUCCGAUUAUAGGGAUUCUGAAUUGCGAAAUGGUGAACUUUGGUACGAUUAGUACGUAUAAUUCUUGCAUCGAUUCACGCUUCUUGAAAUUAAUAAACUACUUGUAAUUAUAGUUGAUUUUAGACUUAUUGAAGAUCGUAGGUUAUUAAUCUAAUUGAAUAUUUUAAAGAUUUAAUUAAUCCUCGAAUUAGUCGUCGAGUAUUUUCAAGAACAUGAAAAACACGGUUCGAAGCAUCCCGAGCUGAUGCUACGAACAACACUCCGUCCAUCCGGAAAUCGUGAAAACAUUGGAAAAGAAAGGAGCUCUUUCUUCCGGAAUCUCGGCUAAUUCCUCUUCUGAAAGUUACACGGAUGAUCCAUCGGUAUACGGGCCAUUGUGCCGCCGAAGGGAUUUGCGAAAUUCGAAUAACAAGGCCAGAGGAGUGUUUAGGACGACAAUAGUAAUGGAUACGUUUAAUCCAAUUGCCGCGGAAUGGGUGCCUGGGCCUGUGCCGACAAUGACUAAGCAGUACCCAAGGCGGAGCGUGACAAUGUCGAGAAAUAUUGGAUAAGCGUGACGGGCCAGACCUCUUGGCCAGGUAGACAGGCGACACGCUUAACCAAUUUCGGGGAGAAUGGGGUCUAAAUUUGCUUAAAAUUAGGCCUUCUUAGGCGCCCGUUUUGCCCGAGUGCUCGCUCGAUGACCGUCUUUUGCUCACCAUUGUCGCGGAAACCGAGACCACUCGAGACUUCCUUUUGUGACGAACGGAAAAAUAGAAAAAACGAAUUUGGAAACCUGAAGGAUCUUUUUCGGUAGAACAGUAUUCGCCUGUAUCUUGUCCCUUUGCGGACCUGUUUAACAUGUUUCGAAUAACAAAGCUGGAUUUGCAAUGAAUGGUUCAGAGAUUUCACCAUCUGAAUGGAUGAUACUCGAAAGAAGACUAUUUUUCGAACCUCCGAUGAAUGUAGUUAUUGGAAACCUCUAUCGGCAAACGCAACUAUCCAAUUUUACAAAAUCAUUUUGGAAAUCAUUUUGGUACCCCGAAAAAGGCAGCACACACAGUCGGUCUUGAUCGAAGAGUAGACCGGUCCCCGAUCAACGAUCGCGCCGAUUUAUUCCGUCAGAACGACGAGCUGGCUGCCCUUUGUUCUCGGUGACUUACAUCGAUAAUCCCGCUCGGUCCCGACACGGUGGCCCCUCCCGCGUCCCUCCGUCUCGUGGCGCAAUAUCUCGACGGCGAGGCCUGUGGCACGCAUAAAGGCAGCAACGGCCCCUCCGCUGGGUCCAGGGCUUGGUGAAACCGGCGCUUGCUCUCCUCUCUCGAUCUCUCCGUCUCGCUCUCUGCCGGUUCACCGCCCCCUCGCUGCCCGUCCGUGGCUAACAAGAGGAUUCACCAUUCACCUGUCACCGGGUCCGAGGGCGGUUAGUUAUAGUUUAUUUAUCGUUUCCACGUAGGCUGGUGUUUGAAAUACGUUUACACCGCUCGUAUGUUCACCCUUUCUUUCAGUGUGGGUAUGGCGCCGGCGUGUGUGGUCCGGCGCAUACCAGCCACACGCGGCACGGACAACUAUUGUCCGAGCGUGGUGCAGCGUGCACCGGUGCAACCCGCGGACAGUUGCAAGCCGCGCGGACCGCCGAGAGAUGUCUUAAGCAGAUUGGCCAGGACGCGCAUGAACCGACCGCCGUGUAAUCGCGCUCCGGCUACGUACGCCUGCAUUUUUCAACGAUUUUCAUUUUUCCGUGCACUUGCGGUGCAUCUAUGCACCAUAGAUUAGGGCUGGAUACGUUUUGGGUAAAAAAUUCGGAGGUUAAGACUUUGGCGAGUUUAUUUCACUGUGAAACGCUUCUAAUUCAUUCCACAGUCCAUUUUGUAUUCGCCCAAUUACACAUGUCUUAACGAAAGUGAAGCUGACACGUUCGAAUUCUUGCAAUCCGCUUCCCAACCACUCUCAUUUUCGCCAGAACGAUGUCCAGCUGCAUGUAAACAGACAUCCAUUAGCCCGGGGUUACUGUCUCAUGUUCCCGGUUGUACGCAUUGAAAUCCAGCUCCAUGGACCCGGGUAUCAGUCGGCAACAAAGCUUUCCACCCUCGUUUACCGAAAUAAUUAACGUUCGAGGAAAGGUAGAGGUAUUAACGGGACGCGAACAUUAGGGUUAUCUGAUCAGCAGAUCUUGGGUGGACAAGAGACGGUUUGGCGUUGGGUAUUUCCAGCGGUGUCCUAGCCCGUCCACCGCAGCAAAGGGUAGUUUCUUCGUGGCAGGAGGGGGUGGACGGUAUACCUGGAUAUCAUAGGCGAACGUUUGACACGUGAUGACAGCUCAUGGCGCCACCAACCCCCUGCAGUUCCACUCUCCGCAGGGGUUCUACCUCGGCCCCAAGGAUUCUUUUGUUUCAGGCUCAUUAACGUGUUGCCAAACCCUCGUCGUUCUACCUUCGGGGAGCGUCCUGGUCCGUCAACGACCUGGUCGAGAGCCAUGCGUCACGACUGCACCCUGCUGCACGUUUCUAACGGUCGAGGGGAUUGAGUAACCGAGUGGUACGUUCGUGGAGGAUACAUUUUUUCCACAAGAAAUUCCAUAAAAUCGUAGAGGAAUGCAAACAACGAGGAACGAUGAACGUCGCGUCGCGUCGAUUGAUCGGUGGGUUCUGUUAUUGGCUCUCCCCUUGCCUCGGAUAGGGUUUGCUUAUCUUUGUCCCGACGAGUUAGUUUUACGUUUCACGUUGCACAGCAGGAGCCAGUGGCGAGGUUUCGCUCGAGGCGAGGUACAAGGUAGAUCGUGUUGGAGGAAAUUAGUGAGCUGGUACAGCGAGAGGAUCAACGAUUUAGCCGAGUUCAAGUGAUAAGGUGGUUAUCUUGAUCUUACAGAGAGAAGAUAAUACCUGGACAAAUGCUACAGGUUCCCUAAUUUCUGUCGUUCAAUUUUAACGAGCCCGGAGAUAAAGACGGUUCCGAAUCAUCGAUCGGACACUAAGAAGCGCGCGAGAAGGUGGCGCGAUCGCUCAACCUCCAGUCCGAGUUUAAUCGUUUUUUCUUUGGUCGGUUGCUUUAAAGAAUCGCAGCUCUCCGUGUAGCCGCGUUUCGUCGGACAAUUCACGAGACGCUGCGGUGUUGUUUCUUGCCCGACAGAAGGAGCCGCGACCGGCCUCUCAUCAGCUCGCCAGGCUCGGCUCAUCAGCGUAACUUCGACUGUCAGCGGGGACAAGCGGCCGGUUGAAGUGUUUAUCGGCGAUGCUUGCCGACCGUACAGUCCGACGUUACAAGCGCCGGUUCGUGUCCGUCGUGUCGUACCGGCAAAUCACCGAAUCGACCGCAGGACGCUGUGGAAUCCGCAGCAUUCGGCAGCGGGACUCUGGCAUCGGGGGAUCGCCGCGACUACCGGCCGUUGAAAAGACUGGAAUUGCGGUCGUGGCGUGCCCCAGACCGGGCCAACCUGCGGUUCCCAUCGAUCUCCUCCUCUCGCUAUUCCACGUCCUAUCGAGAUCCGCCGAACCGUUUGAUCGUCGACGACGGUCCUCGAUGAACGGUGAACAGCAACGAAUCUUCCUCUUCUUCCUCCGCUUCCGUGUCACCGUUUCCAAGGAAGAUUUUACUCUGCCUUAAAUGCUAGAGAUUCUGAAGGUUUGCUACGAGGAAUGUUGAAGAUACCCAAAAGCCUCGAAGAGGAUGAACGUUGAUCGCGUAUCUACCACCUGUUCAGUAUCAGAAAUCAUCCUUAUCAGCUUCUCUCCCAAGUAGCUGAUCAUUCUCAGCUGCUUGUAUCCAGCAGCACACCUAACAGAGCAAUCGAACAGCAAGGACGGACCAUCCCACGACGAAGAACACGGUCCCGGAACCUAUUGCCGCGAAAGCUAUUGACGUGGAUCUCGAUCCGGGGAAUGGAAAAGCAGCCCGCUCCUUUAGGUGGUCCAAUAAUAAGACAAUAAGUUAGGCGUACCGGGCUGCUCGAGAGCCGGUUGAUAUCAGUGUGGGAUCGAAAUGCGGCAUAGAAGAGACGCGUAUGCGCUAGGGAGCGAGGAAGCAAGCAAGCAAUAUGUUGGUUAGGAAGAGGAAGAGAGAGGAGGGAGGGAGCCGAUCGGAACCCAUGCCGGACGAAAGCAAGUGGUAUGCCCGGAGUGGCGCCAGAAGUCUUUCCUCGUCCUUCUAGCUCCCUUGCUCGGUCCAUAGUCAUCUUCGUCGCACCCUGGGCCAUUAUCCUCCAGCCGGAGGACCGCUAUCUCCCUUGGCGUCCCUCUCGAAACGGCGUCGAUCCAAUUCUCUCCGCGCAGCCUGCCGGCAGGAACUGUGGCUUUCGACCACGGGGGAACAGAAAUUAAUAAUCUCUCGGCGAAGAGGCGCGCUUCAUUCUCUCGUUCUCUUCGUCCCUUUCUAUCCUGUUAUGUCUAACUGGUUGCAUUCCACUCGUUAAGCAAGGGAAUCCGCGUGAACGGCGUUGUGGAUUCCGAUUCUUAUGUAGUCGGCGUCAGUUCCCAUCAAGACUGACUAAUUAAAGGGGACUCGUCGUGAAAGGAGGCUCGACGAGCCGGACUUUCGACUUGUGUAUUAAUGGGAUACCGAUGUCACGAUCUUUAUGACCCGGACGAUCUAUCGAACGGCUCUUUAUGCAUAAAUAACAUCGACCACUCGUUUAUUCCUACAACCUGCACCAAUUGACCCUCGUCAUCCCUCUACCGCGUCAGCUUUUCGCGCGAUUUUCUCGCGUUCCUGGACGCCCGAUUGACCCGUCGACGCCCCCAUUUUACUUCAAAAGUCUUUUGAUUCAUCCUCUACCUUAGAUCGGUACCCAAGUCUCUCGUGACUCAUAGUAUAUUUUACAUCAUUUUUCUCUGCCUGUAAUGACACCAAUUUCCAGAAGGUCAUCACAGUUCACACGAUGUUCCAUGUAACCGAUUCUAUAAACGUACGCUCGGUACCAUCUUCGGUAGCCGGCAACAAGCAGGUCACCCGUCCCACCCAGCCAAGCGGCGGACCCUCUCGGCGAGCACUUCCUACGCCGGGGAAUCACGGAGCGUCGUAAAGCAAUUAACAGUUAUGGUAAUAAUCGCUAACGAUCCCCGGGGACGGAGUGUCCCCGGCGCGGAGGUACAGAAAAAAGGAGGAACGGAAUCGGUGAGGAGAUGGAGGCCGAAAAAGGAGUGGCCUGACUGCCGGGGCUAGGCAGAAGGGCGGCGGCGGCGGCGGCGGCGGCGUCUAGCAAGAUGGAAGGGAAGAGCGAUCGAGCGAGGAUUAUACGACUGGACAUUUCGGGCAUUUUUACGAAAGGGACGCGCAGGAACGCGUGUUCUAUUAGCUAAGACAAAAGAGCGGCGCCUAGACUGAGGGCGAAGGGAGACGGGAUCCCGAAACUGUCCGACAGCGUUUAUUUAUGCGGCAAACCGCGGAAAAAGAUGUAAGUCCUCGGGGGCCUGGUGCAUUCCUGCGCCAGGUCCAGCACGCCCGACAGGGAUAUUAUCUAGCAGGAUAUAAUCGACGUGUCCUCCGACUCGUAAGGACAUAUUUUUACCGAACCGACCUGAACCGACUCGAGUGGCACACCUGGGCCACUUUGCACUCUCUGUCAUCGUGUCCAUGGUAUGAUUCAUUUAUAAAUCAUUACUUUCUCUAUCUAUUAUUAAUUCCUUAAUUAUUUCGCGAUGGAAAGAAAGGAAAGCGUGAAGAAUGAAACCGAUACCGAUUUCUUCCUUUAUAGAAAUUGAAAUCAUUUUAUGUUUAGACUAAACUAGGGGUAGGUUCACCCUAAAUCGUAUUUAAAUCUCUAUUUUAAAAGGUUGAAUUUAGGUUUCUAUGGCCUCUCGAUGAAUUGAUAAUCCAGAGGGAGGGUCUCAGAGUAAAUAAACACAGGAGGGGUGGAAAAAGGGUAAAAUAGAUUUAUCUUAUCUUUCAUUUAAUGAACUAUCCAGGUUUGAUUUAAAUCGAUAUUUAUUGCACGUUUCUUGGAAUUUAACUGACCGUUUGCAAGAACAACAUGGUGGGACGGCUUUCCAGCACGAUCACGGUCGUUUUCUUUGAUUUAAUCUCGCGCAAUGUCGCGAACGAGAGACCGGCCACGCGCAAUAAGCGAUGCACUCUCGCGCAACUUUAUCGUAAUCCAUGCAAAUUUAUUCCGUUCGUCUCAAAGGACUUUGUUCCGGGGCCGAUCCUCGAUAUUCCUCCCCUCCCCCGCUCGGAAGAAAGUAGAGAUCUUGCAGUCGAGUUUUUAAUGAAUAAAACAAACCGACUCGCUCGUGCAAAUUCACUACUUUUAUGCUCGGAGAGAGGAGGAAAAAAAGAACAGGACACGUCAGACGUCGCGUCAUUGAUUUUAUUAAUGAAAAUAGGAUACAUUGUAUUUUAAACGUUACUUUCAGAAUAUCUUCCACUAUGAAUUUUAAUUAAGCUUAGACUAACAAUGAGCGCAAGUUUUGGAAAAGGAUGGAAAAGGGGUGGCUAUCAUGAAAUGAUCUUCGAUAUAUGAAGUAAAGCUGGCCGAGCAUCGUGGUCUGGCUAUUAAUGAACGUAGCGUUUCGAAGCGAGCACCGUAAACGUUUCCAAGCGAAGUCCUAUGGAUAUUUGCGUGCCGUCUCGUGGAAAGGACGAUAAUUAUGGGUGGCGCGAAAGCACGUAACGUUCGUGUUACCGUAAAUUGUUGGUCGAACACGGCAUUGUGCUUCUGGAAAUCGGUGAUUAAAAAAAAUGAGAACGGGGAGAGUGUUUUCCCUUCGUUGCCUCAUUUUCAGGGAACAAUGGAUGGAAAGAUUUUCCAGAAGAAAUGAAAAUCUUGUAAAGGACCAUUGCAACGGUAUCUUGUCUUACACCCUUCGAUGAUAAUAAAUAUGUUUACUCGUACGGUAUCGGUGGUACCGAUGAUGUAUUCAUGCCAGAAGCAAAGAUAACUAAGAACGGAUAACUCGUGCGAUAAAUUCAAUCGUAAAACAAGGAUAACUCCACGUAGCGAAAGAUGGACUCGGUAUUUCAGUCGCGUUGAUGAUUAAUCGAACGUAGCCGGGAUCCGUGACACAAUCAAUUCGCGAAACGCUCACGGACGUGAUGCUGCAACGCCGACAGCGUGACUCGAUGCGUCGCGUCGUGUCGCAUCGCACGCGCUCCACGCAUACACAUGCAACGUUCGCAUUAUGCAUUAUUCCCGGCUGGAUUACAAUGACAAUGACCGCAAUAACGAUCGAGACGGAUCGGAAGAGAGGCGAGAAGGGGACGACGGGACAGCCGACAGCUCGGAAAAUUGCUAACAAAUAAUGCAGCCGGCAGCCGAAGGGGGAGACGAGAACGAUACCGGGGUGGAUCCGUCUUCGAACGACCCCAUGUUACGAAAUCAAGCCGGUGUGCAUCCUUUCGCGUAUAAUCGCCCGUGAGACACCCUUUCUCGGACGUGACCCACUGUUCGAGAAAAAUUGCGCGAUCGCCACCGGCCUUCGGAUCAUCCUAAACAACAAUGAGAACUUGCUGUCGAAACAGGAGUAAAGGGAUACUUUGAUUCUUUGAUUCAAAGAAAUAAAAAUUGUAUGUAUAUCGAAAGACUUCCAUAGAUUUUUCUCUGAUUUAUAAUUAAUUAUACGUGAAGGAUAAGACACCUAAGGCUAGAAACAAGGAACAGUGAUCCAAGGCUGAAGGUUUUCCAUCGGAUCAUUAAACAUUGACCAGUGACGAGCAAAGAAGAAGCAAUCUCCCCGAGGAGAAUCUAUUAUCCCAUUUUUUUCACUUACGUCCUCUUUCCAGCCGGUGAAAAAGCAACCGCACCCUUCGACCUAACGCAAAGCUCACCCUCUAACGAAGUCUCCGUUGGUAUAUCGAUGCUCCGAGAGUAGAUAGAGGAAAGACUGUAAAAUUCAGGAAGGAACAUUAGGGAAAAGGGGUGGUAUCAUCGGUUCGUUGAUCACCCCUUGGGUGCUGGUUUGAAUUAGGGCCGGGGCAGCGGGGUGAGCCGUGUUUAUUGACACAGGAAGUGAUUGCUGCGCCUAUGGAUCGAGGGAGACCGGUUCACGGAAGACACUGAUCGCGCUGCGCUAGAGGAGAGGGGCGGAGGGUGAGAAAGGGAGGAGCCGGUCCCUUCGGUUGACGUAUUUGCACCGUAAUCCCAUGAUAAAUCGUUGCAAGGGCCCUGGGAUAAGCUCUAUUAAUUUUGCGUUAUAAAGUCGAGUGGCCGCGUUCACCUGCGUCGAACUUACGUUAUGGAGACGUAAAAGAUUUUUAAAAGGCUAACGUAUUUACUAGCAAUUCCCCCUCGGAUGUACCCGUGUUUCCACGUUUACGGUGCUGUUAAAAUUUAACCCUCUCGUAACAUUACCGAGUUUUAUUUCUGGCUGUAUUUUUCACGUUACGGUUUGCCUCGAGUGGAUCCACAGAAUUAUUUGAUACAUUCGAUAAGGGUAGGAAAUAAAUUUUUCAAUUUUCUUUAGAAUUAUUUUUGAAUUCUGAAAUGAAGUCCAAUCAAAUAAAAAGAAAGAUUCUCUGAACCCGUUCCACAGAAGACGUCCCUAUCAACGAUCAGCCCUGGUGCGAAUGACAAAUGCCCUUAGAACCGCAAACGUCUUCUUCCCAUCAAUCUGACGGUUGAACGUUUCGCGUAGAGCGUUCUUAUCUCGUCCAGGCUUGAUAAAUUAAUCGACAUUAAGGGACAUAACGCCAGCAACGUCAGCUAGAUUCGAAUCGAGCCGAUUGCUUGGACCCCGAAUCUUCUCUGGACCCAAGUUUCUUUCACGAUAGCUCAUCUAGGUGCGGUGAGAUCAUCAAUAACCUAUCUACCGGAAUAUCUAGGCGUACCAGGAAUCACUCCAGAGUUCCUGGAUCAUUUUUAUUUAUAUAAGACCUAGAUUCCCAAGCUGGCUUCUGACCCCCAAGGGAGGUCCUCGGGAAUAUUUUUCACCGCAAUUAACACACCUCGAAUAUUUCAAUUGUUUUUCAUACACAAUAAAGACGAAACCCCGUAUGUAGGCUCUCGAACCGACGCGACAGGUACAUAAAGAUAUACAAGUGCAGACGUUGCUCGCCGCAAUUCGGUCGAUCCUCGACGUGUAAUCACGUAUGCAAAUGGGGCCACAGGGAGGUUGUGUGCGUGCCUGCCGGGACGGGACGGGACGUUGGAGUAAAUGCGUAACUGUCGAUAUCGCGGCCGUUUCGCACGCUGACAGGACAAUGUGCACGCGCGACCGCCCGCGAGCUGGUAAUUUGUACCGUAAGCGGGGGAAACGUCCGGUUAUGCUCGCAGCUAUCAACCGUGGCUGUUACGAGCAGCGAUAAGUGUAUUUUCGUUUCUACUUCCUAAAUUACUAGCUAAUAUUUAUCACUGUAAUUUUCGAAAAAUGUCUGACGCAAAUGAAAGUUGAACAAUUUCGAAGUACACAGAUAAUUUCUUAUUUGUUCAAAAGUUUCUCCUCGAACCUUGAGCUUCGCACGGUGGUAAACGCGUUGAAUCGAAUUCUCUAGAUAGGAAGAGGGGUAGUUCUAACCGUGGAUCUGUCUCGCAGACAUAAAUCAACAACUGCUAACCUCGUCCUGGGAGAGAACUGUUACGUUUCCACGGACAGAUAGAGCCGACGCUUUAUUAUACCGGACACAAUUGCGUGUUGCUCGAGCGCCACGUGACCGGCGACUUCCGGCCGUAGUUUGGGUUCCGCUCGCUGACGCUUCCUCCCGAUUCCCCUUCGAUCGGUUUUUCCUUCUACGCAACGGGUGACGAUGAUCGCGUGUCAGGUCCACGAUGAUGCUGAAUGCCCGACACGCGUACCUCUUCCUGCCCGCGUCUCUCGUCGUCGCGCGGAUUGUCACAACACGAAUCGGGGUGGCAGAGGAUUUCAGACAGGGUGAGAAGCAAAAAUGUAUUUUCAAAGAAUGCAAAGCAAAAUUCGAUGGUAGAAGAUAUGGAAAAUUGAUUUUUUGCAAUUGCUGUUUAAAGGGAUUUUUGGGGGAAAAUUUAUAAAAUUUCCUAAAAAGGGUUGUUAAUCAGAAUGUCUAAAAGGAAAAAAAUUCAGCCAGGCUCAAUGAAUUCAGGAAAAAAGGAGAUCUAGAUAGCCCGCAGGGGAGAAAAUCAGUGUAAUAGAGAGAUCAGGGGGGAGAGUGGUGUGUCGAACCGAUCGGUCAUGGUGUUCUUAUGUUAAUACCGCGACGGUUCUGCUUUGCUUUUCUAUUCGAGCAUCCCUGUACCCGCACCAGCGUGGCGAAUCCUCGAGUUUAUCGCGGGGGUGUGUAGCCACUGUAACCACUAAAACCAUCGUCCGACUCGGGGUAGAUGGUGGCGAGGGGAAUAGAGCCUAGGACGUCAGUGAAAUUUAGUGUUACGUUGUGGGAAUGAGAAAAUCGAUAGAACAGAGAUCAGACCUUGGUUAAACGCGUCGGAAUCGAACAAACAGAUAUAAAAGAAAAUUUUAAUGAUUCCUUGGAUGAAAAUUUUGUAAUUAAUAACACAGAAAAUCAUCAUCAAAAAUAAGAAGACACAAAAUAAAAUUAUAAAGAAUUUAUAUUCUAUAAAGUUUCUAACUAUCAAAGGGUGUCACUUGGCUUUUCUAAAAUCGAAGAUAGAAAAUUCUUAGAUUGAACGGAUGAAUAACCUAGUAAUUACUAGCGGCAACACGUUCCCGCGCACUGAUAGAAGCAGCGGUGCACCGAAUUCAACGCCUCAUCCAUCAGCAACGGUCAGCCAUUAACCCCAGUAGGGCUCGCCUAACAGGACCCUGUCGGUCGAGCAGCUCGAAUUAUUAAUCGCGUUUCAAGUCCGAAUCAAUCAAGCAACCGACGCGCGAGAGGUUCGAUAACAGCGGCGAAGACCACCCUCAAAGACCGAACCGAAAGGAUAGAUCCACGCCGUUGAAGCCGGUAGUUUCCGCGAUUGUGAGAAACCAUCUUAACCUGUGAGCCUAACAGCGAGAGAGAGAAAGAGAGGAGUGUAGAAUUUCUCUCUUUUCGACCUGGGCAGAAGGGAGAAGGCUGUUAUAUCCCGCGGUGGUUGACUCCGGCACGGUGGUCCAGGUCAACAAUUCAUAAUCGUGGCUGCGACCGAGUAACGAGGAAAGGUUCAGCGCCUUAUCCGAGGUUCUUGCAUACAAGGUGGCUUUCUUCGUUCAUCUCGCCGCUUCUUCUUAUUCUUCGUCCCCUGAUAAGAUUGGCAGGUAUGGUUUCGAAGACGCUUUUCAAGAAAACUGAAGUUGUGUCAUAGACGAUAAUAAAUUAGCUUCGAUUGCUGGUACUAAAGCUUUCACCCUGAAGAAAAUACACGAUUUACAAAGUGACACAUUUUAACCUACCCGUGCAAUUAUUUGAUAUUUUCAUUCAAAGAGCUCAUUUUCUUUCAAGGAGAAUAUGUUCUUGGUGUAGGAAGGAAAGUUCGAAAGUUCUUCAAGGUUAUCUCAGGUAUCGAACCGGUGAAUAAAAAGGAAAGAGUCACCCUGUACAGACGGAAAAGGAGGAACCGGAGUGAAGGGGUGUGGGGUCAUGAGCGAGAACAAGAGCAAGAACAAGAGAAGCAGGUAGGUCGUAACGUGGCGCACGGAGCGUCUGGGGCCCACGCUCUGCCGCGCCACGACAAGGUGGUCCCGGGGCUCCAAUGGGGCCCGACUCGCGAACCUGGGGCCCCGCACGAAUGCCCUCGAUUUAUGAAGCACGAAUUAAAUACUAUGAUCCUAGUCGCCCGCUGCUGUCCGUGCUACGGACCCCUGGUCACCAUCAACUCCAUAGAAAUUGAAUUCCAUCGAGGACAUCCUGGCUACCGAUCAGGAACCAUUGAUUGAUAGAAUCGGGACAACUAAAGGCGAGUUUCAAACGGGCCUUUUAUGUAUCACAACCUAUUCCUUGGCGAUUUUUAACCGACUAAUUGGUGGUGCUUUUAAUUAUAAGAACUGGUUCGACCGGGUCCAAUUAUCUAUGGAUUUUCUAAUGAAAUUCUUAUCAUUUCUUAGUGAAAGCCUUUGGGAUCGAAGAUAUAAUGUUUUAUAUAAAGAAAAUUUUACUAAGGAACCCAGCUGGUCAAUCUGCACCUCGACCAGUGAUCCUCUAACAAUAGGAGCAAUCAAUUAACAGGAACUGGAGAGGAUCAGCUGUGCCAGGUCCGUGGAAUGAUGUGGCAGCAGGAGAAACGAGCCGAGGCUGGUUCAUUACACAUGCACGCUCCUAAAACCAAUUCUAGCUGUGGUCCGGUGCGCGAGGGCUAACGAGACGUCUAUAUUAUUAUGCCGUCGGAAGAGCGGCGCGACGUGGGUCCCAAAACGGGCAGGCUUGCGUCGGAUAUUAGCCGCGGGGCCCCCUCUCGUGAGGAUAGAGAGACGAGGAGAACCAUUCGGAGCCGGGGACCACCGUGAAAGAAGGGAGUACUCUCUGGACCAGCAGCUCCUCCUCGCUUCUUUCUCUCUUCCUUUCUCCAUCUUUUUUUUCCCUCACUCCGCCUCGACGUCCGCUCGAACAGUUCCAAGCGGACGCGAGUUUCCUCGGCUUUACAGCCUGCUGCCUGCUAAUAACCGCGAACACGUAAUUUCCUACAGCGCCUGCCGUACGCAUUAUCCUCCACUCUUUUUGCUGCCUUUCUAACCAACCGGAAUUUAUCGCGAGCAAACGUCAGUUCGAUCACCACCCCGACGAUCCUCGGACACCACCUUGGAAAAUCACCGAUUUCGAACGAACCGCGAGGAAAAGAGUUCCAAGAAUUUCAUUCUGAUCAUCUAUUAUAAAUAUUUAGACGAAAGGUAUCAAGUUCAGAGGAUGAUCAACAUCGUUCUACUGUUUUAGACACGCCUGUCGAUACAUGGUUGCAUGCAGCGAAUCAGAUGCACAAUGUAGAUCGAGAUUCUGCCAGGAGGGAACAGGUUUGAUACAACGAGCCUGCCCAAGUCGACGAUUGCACCUGCUUGGCAGGUGUUCCCGAGCUGUUCGCGACGAUUAUUAACCGUCUAAUCAUGGUUCUAAUCGUUAGACUUGUUCAACGGGAGCCUUUCCUCUUCCUUCGUACAACGUGCCAAUCAAUUCAAUUGUUAGACGAUAGAAUUUCUAUCGGUAUAACAUGGUUGAUCCUCUGAUCUUCCACCAUCUUGGUGAGAAAUUGGGACCUCCAUGAAGAAGUUUGAUAGCACGUUGUUCAGGAGAGAAAGAAAUGGCCAAUGGACAAGGUGGUCGGGCAUAAAUUUACGCCAAGGGUCGAGGAGGAUCAGACGGGCAGAAAAUUCGACGAGCAUCAUCCUUGGAAACGCUGAUGAACGCGGAUGGCGCUGGGCAAAAAGCGGCAAAGAAGUUUAUGUCCCCCGUGGAGGGACGUGUCGGCGUGACUCUCUUCUGGUGGGUAAUUAAAAGACGCAAUUGUCACGUUAAGGAAUUAAUGUCCGCCGCGGUGGCGAGGACGUAUUUAUUAGCCGGGUCCGCGAAUCGACGCCGCAUAGGGGGCGCUGCACGAUUCGAAAUGGAAUUCCUUCGUUCGACUGGUCCCCGGGUCAACUGAGACCCUUUCGACAGUCGACAAUGGCUCGUGUGUGUGUGUGUACGUGCGUGCCGGUUGUCUUAUGUUUUAAUUGUUCUCCGCCGCCGCGUAAAUCCUAAUUAAGACUGAAUUAUUUGGCCCGCGUAGCGACGUAAGAAACCGCCGAUUCGAUCGCGAGAAUUCCGCUUCCAAGGACGAUCCGUUCGAUCGGACCUGGUCGCAGGGUGCUGCCUCGAGGACCCCCCUGCACGUCCUCGCCAUUGCUGCUUCGUGUUCGACGUCCUUUUUGCCUUCGGCUCCGACGCGAUCCGCUUUGUCGCGGACCGACCGCUGGGAAUCGCCCGGCACCCAAGUGUCGAUUUUCUUCGAACCGCAGGGAAAAUAAAAUAUCAAUCAUUGUUGCAGUUUCUUUUUAAAUACAAUGGUCGAAGCGAAUAAGACGCUGAAAAGACAACUAUUUUUUAAAUUUUCGUGAUUUAGUUCACCCUGUAAUAUAAUUUCUCAGGGGUUUCCCAUAAAUAUAAGGGACACGGGAAUGCGAGGGAAGAGAGCAGAAGUAUCCAGGGACAAAACCGAAAAAAGGAGAAGUCCAUUUGACAAAUUAGUACUAGCCAGCUUCAGGUAAUUUCCUGGGAACUUUUAGUGCUCGUUCUUCUUUCUAAACCGCCCUUCUCAAUUUCCUGGCUCGCGUAUGCAGCCGAGUCGCCAGUAUCUUCUGCAAAUGUGCUUUGGAAUUCCUUGCUCGUUGCAUCUCCUCGCGACGGAAUUCUCGUCCGCAGACGGGCAUUAAAUGGUCGCGCGUGUGCGCAGCGUGAAAUUUCACCCUCUCGCUGCGCCUGGAAAAUUCUCCGCUCACCUACCCCCCGUACGUUCUCUCGCUGAAGAAUGAUGGAUCACGUUGUGGCGUGCAAGAAACCUCGUGCAACGUAACAGGGAAAUUUUGUUGCAGGAAGCGAAGACUCUUUUUGUACUUCCUUUACUCGAGGCAAAUGACGAGGAAGGUUUAUUGAAGGGUGCAUGCAACGUUCAAGAGUUUCCAGGUUAUACGGCUCUUUUGUUCGAAGAAAACGUAGCUCGAUGAUCGUUUCUCUCUUGGAAAAUUUAAUUUUUCACAGAGAAUACUGCGCGAUAAAUUAAACUGAACUAAAACUUGGAUAUUCUUUUUCUGAAACUUAGGUAGGAAUUUAUAGGACACUUUUUUGAACAUAAUGGAAGCCAAUCGAACGGUUCGAUAAUUGGAACAUCGGUUGUUCGAUGAUGCAGAGCGGAAGGCUCGGCCCAGGAUCAGGAUGACUCUGCAUUAUCGCUGAUUCCGGAGCAAGCCACGGGAUUUUCAUGUCCGGGCUGGGAAGCCAGCGUCGCCAUCAGCAUCGCAGAGAACCCACGGCUCGACUUAGCAUAGAUUAAAGUUGCGCACACACCGGCAAUCUUGCGGAUGUUUGCGAACCAACAGGGGUGGAUGGGACCAGGACACGGUUUAGAUAAAAAUCGGGACGAUAGAUCCUCCACCUUUACGAGCAUCAAGUUCGAUGAAGUUGAAUCUUCAGAGGUGCAAACAGCGAGGAACGUCGGUUAACGAGCGGCAAUAACCACAGGAUUGCGGCCAGGUGUUACGCCAACGCGUCGGUCCAGGCCACUUCCUCGGAAAGAUCCUGGCUAAUUGCGGCAUCACUCAUAUCCUUUUUGCCUCGCAGGACGCUUAUCACCACGCCAGCUUCCUUUCCAGCCUGAAGCUGCUUCCAUUUCGUUGGAGUGAAUUCUGAAGAAAUGGCAAGUUUCCUUAAGGGCUGCUACGUGGAAGAAGCUUCCAUGGUGCCCCAUGGAAAUUACGCGGUGCUGCUUGACCGUAACUGCGGCCGAUCCAACGGCCUUCGUCGUUGCCCAGCACACUGACCAAUUUCACUGGAACCACUAUGAUCGGUGGUGCACCGGACCAUGUCGAAUAGUCGCUUCUUUUGCCACGCGGAUGUCGUGGAAAUAAGUAUACGUGGCCGAUCCGACGAGGAGGUUCGUUACCGGUUAGCCACCAUGAAAUUCCAACUGUACGAUUCCUAAUGAACGCCCUUACUGCUUCUUUCCUGUCGUCUAAUUCGUUCCUCGCGUUUCCGUCCCGGUCAUUCAUCGACCCCCGUGCGAACAACUUUAACAGUAUUCUAUAUUUUCAGUCGAAUUACUUUCCAUAGGAAAAAAAAAACAGGGGGAGCCUUUCGUAUUCGAAUUCGCUUUCCUUCGAAUAGGGUCCAGUUUUUCCUCGACAGUUUUCCAUACGAGGAGCCACCCCUUCCGGUCGAGGAGCCAUCGAUCACUGACAAGACCCAGCCACGAUCUCCUUUCGCUGUUUUCUUCCUACGGGGGAGAGAAAAAAUCGCUGGCCGGUCCAAGGUACGAAAGAAAGGAGGAUGAAUGAGGAACAGCUCGGAGCAUGCCAAAACGCACGAGCUUCAGCGACCCGUGAAACUCUCGUAAAUUGUCGAUUCAUUAGCGGACCAUGGGAGGGAAAAAAGGCUGCUCUUCUCGGCGUUCGCUUUUUUCGCCGCUCCACCCCCUUGAAUAUCGAAUUAAACAAGCCGUGGCCAGCUUCUACUUAUGGCGUUCGCAUUAACUCUGUCGUAUUUCUUCGUUCGUUGCCCUUCUUACGACUCCUACGUACAAUUCCGUGACUCUUCCGAAAUUACUGCUUUAUGGUUUCUUCAUUACGGUUCGAAUCAGGUAUAAAUUGCUGUGAGAUUAACCCGGGUUGGUUCUGAUUAAACCAAUUUAACGGAUGAAAUUUUUGCUAAGGUUCAACCUGUUAUGUUUUAUUCGACCAGGAUUUAAACAGCAGUUAGUUACCCUGCAAUUUAUACUUUUAAUAAUGGAAACGAAAUGAAGAAAUCGCGCGUUCCGUUUGACUUCUUCAUCGAUCACCGAGGAGACAAACAUGCCGCCGGUCAUGAAAACGCGUUCAAAACGGCACAAUACGGCCGUUAACGCCACCAGGGUGGUUAUUGUCGAUCGCCGGUACAAGGCAACGAUAAUGGCCUAUUUUGACAGCGAGACGGCCGGAAUCGUCAAAACAGUAGUACGCCUUCAUUGUUGCCCGACGCAGAAAGGCCGAGUAUGCGGGGGUGGCGAGGAAAAAUAAAUCAUGCCUGACCGACUGACGGCCGGUGGCACGCAAUCAUCCCCCUGCAAGCGUGUCGGCCAACAAUGACCAUUGUCCAGACGAAUACGCGGCCACUCGAAAUGAUCUCCGGUCACAAGUCAUUACCUUUUCAUUUUAAAACCACCCCCUCGGAUACCAGCAGCCGCUGUUCACCCGCUGAGCGCUAGAAUUUGGGGGGUGAGUUUUGAGAUAAUGCAACUGGACAUCGUUCGAUACGCGUUGUUCGGGAACAUUGUAAAUCUGAGAAAAAUUUGAAUUUUCUCGUCGUCCAAUUAACGCGACCCCCCGUCGUAAAUUUCGAAACGUAAAUCUCACGCCGAAAUCGCUUAAUUUCCAUUCUGGAAGGACACCUAAGAAGGUAUCCAGGAUUUCUCGCGAGGAUCGUUAAAUGGAGGACAUGGAAAGAGUAUCAUCGGGAGGGAAGAUGUUCGGUCGGAUGAUUUAUGAACGGCGGGGGGUCGAAAUAAGGGGCGAGGAUGAGAAUCCCUGACGUAGCAGAGACAAAAGGACCCCCCGAUACCAAGUUAGGACGGACUGUCUGUCGUCGGGCUGUCAGUGACCGUCUGCACGGUGCUUUCGUAUAAUCCACGAGCGAGCAACGGCUCGGUUAUAGAGACCAGGCUCCCUCCGAGACGGAGGCGCCAUCUUAGUCUGCAUUCCAUUGUUUUAGAUGAUUCAUACGCGGCUCCGGCCCCGGAGGACCUCCUAAUUUAUUAGUUUGAAUAUCGAGCAGAGGAGCCACGGGGCCCGCGACGAGGAGAAAGAGGACGGACCAGACCUUUGGGCCAAAGAAUGGCGAAGGGCGAGAGGAACCGACUAGCUGGGUGGCCGGGGACCGUCUCUUGUUUAUACUCCCCUCCCCCGCCCCCUUUACCCUUCCUCAUCUUCUCAUUCUUUCUUUCCACAUCGUUCCGCUUCUUCUUUUCCAUCUUCCUUCGAAACUGCUCCUUCGCCGAGCGGUUUUCGACCAAACUACCCCCCUCCCCCUCUUCGUCCUUUUACUUUUGCUACUCUGAUGAAGAAGCUAUGGAAGAUUUAGAGAAACGAAAGGAUAUAUUUGAACUUGGAUUUUUCAAAGAAAAUUUUCCACGCAAAUGAUCCUAAUUAUGUAAUUAAUCAAUGGUUAUUUGUUAAUUUGUAGCUUCUAAGAAGGGAAUCAUCGUUAUGCUAAUACCACUCUAAUAAUACACCAUGUUUUCCCUUCGAUCGGCUCCGUUCUCGGUAGUCGGCUGCUUUUUCCCGAGGAUUUGAAUGUUAGACAGUCGAAUCACGUACGGCAGGUGUGCCACGGAUCCAUGGAAUAGCAUUUUGUUCCAUGAAUUUCGCGGGGGAAUCGCGUGGACAGCCGAGUAAAUCGAAAGGAACACCGGGGAAGAGAAUUUACAUAGCGCGACGAAAAGCAUUCCGAGGAUACUUUCUCUUCUGAACUAUUAAAAAGUGUCCUGAAGAAAAUUACUUUCCACUUUUCAAACGAUACGAGACAUUGAAUCGUGCCACGUAUCAUGAAUUUUACGAAAGGUCGACAGAGAAACGACCGGUACUUUUGGGACCAGCUGGAAAAAACUUGGUUCUCCGGUCUUGACUCGCUACCAUUGACCAACUGCCUUCAUUGUCGCUGAAUUAGCCCCGUCGUUCUCUCUUCUACUUUAGCCUGAAGGUUUACGCAGCCGUUUACGAGCCACGGUCCCCAUUACCCUCCGCCAUCAGGCCCCAUUCAAGUUUCGCUUCUGCCACUAUUGCCCGACCGUGGCGGCGGUGUAUCGUGGGCCUAGUUUUCAUUCAUCUCCAGUCCGCUGAUGGCCCCGUUGACCUCGACCAGGACCCGAGAUGAAUAUUACGUCGGUCGUGCCGCUCGUAAUACGCCCUCUCCGUUGCCUCCCUUCUUCUUCUUCCUUUUAACCCUUCUCCCUCUAUCGUUCCUCUUAUACCACGAUCGUCCUCCUUCUUUCACGUUCGCUGCUUCACGACCAGCCAGCCACCUUGCUCUGCUCUUUCUUUCUUUUUUUUUUUUUAUUAUUUUUAUUUUUUCUUGUUCUUUUACUAGGCGCGAUCCGGCUGAAACGUUCCCAUAAGAUGAGUAUCUGGAUACGUGCCGCGGGGCCAAAUCGUUUGACGGAAACCGCGCUCCUCAGCCUUUACCCUCUUCUGCUAGUUGGCUUGUAUUUUUGAUGCGACUAUGUGAAAUUUGGAUAAAUUUUAUUUUUCCCUUUUGGACCUUUUAAUUGGAGGCGUUUUAAAUUUAAAGAGGAAGGUUUACAAAAUUAUUUUGACAAUGUUAUAAGGGAAAUAAAGGGUUUGUUUGGGAGAAUUUAAUUAGAUUUAUUAGAAUUUUUGAAGAAACGGCUCUAAAUGAGUAGAAAAUUUUUGAAGCGAGAAUUGAACUCGUUUGAAAUUCUCGUGGCCGAGAAAGCGUCGCUCGCGAGCAGAAAUGAAAUUGUGGAGACGUAAAAUGAUACGGCGGUGACUCAGGACACGCGAAACCGCUGAAUGGAGCACGUCGGCCUCCAAAGUGUGGGAAUCCUUCUUUUUCCUAGCGUAUUUCAACGCGGUGUGCUCUGAAUUCAAAUAGACGGGAGGAUACGCGGCGUCUCGGCUUCCUUCGGCUGCAAAAACUUCUCGUAUCGCGAAACACGUACGAACGUCGCGUCGUCCUUUCUCGUCCGGAAAGAAGGUGCGCGAAACGAAAGAAUUUUAUAAUUCCUCCUUCAAUAACAGCGGUUCUUCACCUUUACCUCCGAAACUUUAUUUCGUUUCUUUCUCGGAAUUAAUUCCAAUACGAAAUCCUUGAUUUGGAGGUAAAAUUCGAAUUAAUUGUUUCUUAAUUUAAAAACAACAGUUCAGAACAUUUUCCUCCAACCUUCUCUGGUAGUAUUAUGUAAAUUUCCUCACUAACACUUUUACUUCAUCCUCCAUACAUCCCGGGGGGAAGAAAGAAGGAAAAGAAACUAGCUCUACUUGUAGUCUGAAACAUCCCCUAGAUGAAAGGGUGCCGAUCGCGUGCUAAUUAAAGGAGAAUAAAAAAGAACUAUCGGCGGCAAGAGUUUCGCUUGGCCAUGUCAAAAUACACAAAGAAAAAAAAAAAGGGGUUGCGAGAGGAGGAUUACACUCCGGACAAGGGUGGGCUCCGCGAGAAAAGGGGCGGACGGGGGUCACGAGGAGGGCAGAAAGGGAGAACAACCCCCUUCGUUAGGAGACGAGGCGAGUCCUGAGAGGUACGGCAAAGAGUGAUGCACUCGACGAGGCUUGCAUCCCCUAAGUCACGAUGAAAAAAACAUGGCCGACAACUCGAAAGGUCUGCCAUCGAAUUCAUUAUCGACUCUCCGCCCCCCGGAGGCGAUCAGCUUCCUUCCGCUAACAGACAUCCGUCACUGAAAUUUCUUCUUCAUUUUGCUUUUUUUAUUUCGUUCCUUCACGAUUUUAAUUGCAAAUUGAAAAAUUUCACAACGAAACCAUUUGCGUUGCAAAAUAAGGGUAUUUGUUAUUUGUUUGUCUGUUCGAAAGAGGAACAGGAGAGGAUUUCUCGGUAGAAUGAUUGAUUGGGAUAAGAUAUUCGUUUUGCGAUGCUCAUUUGGUGAGAAGUAGGGUAUUACAUGUUGUUUUUUUCAUGAACUUUCAUAGUGGGACUGGAAAUAAACAUAAUUUAAAAAAUGUGGAUCAGAAGAGUUUCGGGAGAAGAAAGAAUUGGUGUUGAAAGAUGAUGAAAAAUUUUAACUAUUGUUGAAUUCCGAAGAAUUUCCACUAUAAAGGUAAAUAAAACAGCAACGGAGAAGGAUCGAACAUCAUUAGGCCAUUAUUUCUCUCGCGUUGAUUGAACGGUCUCCACUUCUUGGUUACAUUUUCCUAAUAAGUAACAGCUAUAAAUCGAUCGAAUUACUUUUGCCCAUUUCCAAUGAUUCAUAAUACUUCUUUCGAGACCUCCUGCGAAUCAGACCGUGGAAACGUGCAAUGAAUCUUCGCCUUCGGAGUGGUCUCCUCUGGCGAAGGGGCUGGUCGUGUCUUUUGCGCUUAAUUCCAGCUACCUUUCUGGCAGAUGCGGUCGUUUAUGGUCACUCGGGUCCAAGUAUUACCAAUUAUCGUGAUACGAGCUGGUUCGAUACCCAGGAACACGAUAAAUCAACCCAAAGGACUUCCAUUUUCCACCCUGAUUUAUGCCUUCAUCGCAGAGACACGAGGAUAGAUUCAAAUUUUCCUGUCAUUUAAACUAAAUCAACAAGAAACAAAAUUAUUAUUAAAGAAUUAUAUAAUUCUUAUUAAAGGAUUAUACCGAAGCAAUUAAUGAAAAUUCAAUGAGAAUAAUGAAUUGAUCAUUUCCCUAUCAAAACGUAGCCUGGAAACGUGGAAGGACUCUAGCAAAGGGUUGCGUCUUUGCGUUCUCGUAAUUCCCUGUGGUCGAUCGACCCGUACUCGUUUACGACCCAUGUUCACUGGUCAAGUAUUGCCAAUUAGUCAAGUCGGCCCAUCGAAGACGCUUCUGACCAUGGUCUUUGCGAGCUGGCUCGCAUGAAUAGCCUGGUACCAUUCAUGGAAUGCCAUAGCAAGUGCAUCGAGAUUGAUGUGUACUGCAAACAAGAAGCAGAAUUCGAUGAAAAUUUGUUCGAUCCUAGAAAUCUUUCAUCAAAUUCCUUUUGAUAAAAAGAAAAAUAACUGAUUAUAAAACAAUCAUGAUUCUAUAUAUACAGACAGAUGUGUAUAUUUAUGUAUAGACGUGAAAUAUCGCCAAAGGGUAGAGUAAAAUCCCCAGAAGCUCGGAGCGGAAGCGAUAAAAGGACGAAACAAGCUAGCAAACAUCGAGAACACGGUCUUGUCCGGCGAGUCACGAAGCCGUCUCACCACGUACAACAUACAAGGUUGGAAAUCCCUUCAUCGGCGAUCCUUCGCCCGUCUCUGUCCCAGGUUUCGCAAUCAAGCAGCGUAGGCCGGUCAGUUUGUUCUAAUCAGUGCUGACCGCGAGCUGGCUAACUCAAUCAGCUAACGAAGCUAAUUUUGCACGGUGGAACCGGCCAAUCGUUGCUCGACCGGGUGCCCGGUUCACCUAUCAACAACGAUCCCGGGCCACAGCAAACACCUAAUCCACCGUCGUUCCCAUGGGAGGAACUGGUACGAAUCGGUAGCACGAUCACGUGGACCGAAGACGAAAGAAUAUGCCGCUGGUAAACUAUCCACGAUUCUACUGAUUCGAACAAAUAUGUACAGGGAUACGUGAACGAGUGUGAUUCUGACCUCUGGUUACUCGCUUUUCUCCAGUUUCGACAAUUGUUCAGAGGAUUUCAACCAUUUCAUCAGAAUCGUUUCUACAGUCUCGAAAUGAUCAAUUCCUUAAUGAUAAUCACAGAUCAUCUCAAUUAUGUAAUAUCUUCAUGGAAGAUAAAAAGAUAUAAAAAUAAACGACGACAGCAUCAGCAAUGGCACGAUUGGGCCGAUUUGCAUGCGUGGCAAACGAGCGCGGGCCUGGUCCUGCAUAAAUCCAAAUUUGAGUACACAGGGAGGGGGGGGACAAGUCCUGCCGGUCGGCGGCGUCCUUUCAUGUUGGAUCAUACUUCUGUUUGUCCCUCGAGGCUCCUGUUGUUCGCGUCCUUUCGGACUUCGCGAGAGACCAGCAACGACCCGGACGCGAAAAAGACGCGAGGACAGGAGGGGGUACCGGGGGCAAACGAGCGACGGGAACCCGGGGUUAAACAGAGAGAGAGAGAGAGAGAGAAAAAGAAACGAGUAAAAGGAGCCGUAUUGUCCUGACAGGAUCCGCAAGAAUCGCCGACCGACCGCCGGAUGUGCGGUCCCGGUACAAACGCGAAAUCGUCUCUAUGGGGCCAUUCGAGCGGCCCUUUUCUUCGCCCGCAACCCCCUUCGAUCGGACCACACCACCCCGUCGAUCAUCCUUCAUGAAUAGUUAUGAUAUCGUUCUUGGUGAAACGACGCGAUCCUAUCGGCACCAGGACCACACAUGAUGACCGUGCGUUGAUUGCUGUGUACGGUUGUUGUAAUUAGUCGGACGAGACGAGCUCCUCCGGUAGCGUUUUGCUGAUCGAGUUCGUAUCGGAAGCCUUUUUGCUGGCCGGGAUACGUCUUGCACGUGAUUGACUUUUUGUUUGCAUAGGGUGCAAGAAAAGUCUCGAGUGCACUUAAUGAAGAUGAUAGAAUCAUUUGACUACAGGCAGGGAAAUUAUAAUAGAUCAUCUAAUCUAUUAGUGCAGAUCAUUGGAUUAAAUAGAUAGAGGGUAGUUUUAAUUUUCUAAAAAUUGCAGAACAUCCAUUAAUAAAAAAAAAUUAUUAGAUGAAUUAAGGAAUGACAAUUUUAUUAUAAUUAAGCUGCGAUAGAUAUUUAAUAGUUUUGGUAAAAUUAAUGAAGCUGAUUUUAAAUAUGCAGAAAACGACCUCUUAAUUUGUCCAAAGACUUUCACUAACCCGACAAUUUCUCACGCGGCUUCUACUUGGGACCGGGUAUCGACUUUUUCGAUCGGCUUUCCAAUUUCGUGCAAAAUUCCAACGUUUCGCAGGUGCACGCGGCGGCGAUGUAAGAAACCCGCAAUUCCCGAUGCUGUCCGUCGGUUUUUCUUCGCUCGUUCGUUCCUGAUCCGUCGUGCCAUAAAUCAGCCUCGUUUUCGUGAUACGUACGUGCGCGCCCCGUGAGAAACUAGAGCAGAACAGAACCGACCGGUGUAAGUAUCUCGAUUUCUGUGCCUUACCGCACUCUACACCUGUGUAAUUCAAAUUAGCCGAUCAAUUCAAAAACUUCCAAUUUUAAUCCAAACUGUAAUAUCUAUUAAUUUAAAAUAUCGGGAUAUCGGUAUGGAAAUUUCAUGAAAUUCUGUUAUUUCAUGAAAAUUCUACAACUCGUCGGGUAUUCAAGCAACGUCAGCAGGAUCGUUCACGAUCGGUAUCGACGUCAACGAUCGCAUUAGAGUAGAAGGUAGAACACGGUACAUCGUGUCAGUUUCAUCAUCGUGGUUCGUUGGUCCGCGUUGAAAUGACGGUCACGAUCGUGCGAUAUCCAGCAUCGAGCUGGUUCUCGUCACCUGGUUCCUCGUUCGACGAUCGGUUCCUCCCCCGUAUUCUCUUCGCUCUGGGUCUCUCGGCCGCGUCUGGUAUUCCCAUGGCGAUCCUCAGCCGCGACCUUUCACCGAAUUUCGCCGUGUAAAGCCGAAAACGAGCGCGUUUAAUAGCGGUCCGUGAACGCACGUACCCGCCGGCGCAGGAUCAAAAGGAUCACGUCGCUCCUACGCACGUCGCAUCGUCCGGCUGCGGCAAGCUGAUUCGUGAUGGGCAUGGGACCGAUUGCAUUAUGCCCACCGGUUGCCUUCCCUCGGACAAACACGAUGACCGACGUAUUUCGAUGCCCAUCGCCUCGCCAAGAAAGAUGAUCCUGGACGCGAGUAUUUUUCAGGACUCUUGUUUCCUUGGGAACUAUUUUAAAUGAAGACGAGUGAGAAAUCUGAAAUUGAUGAAAGUAAAUAUUCUCUUAAAACGCCAACAGACUUCUAUCAAAUUCGAUGGCACAUCCCUCGAAGGUUUCUGAUUAAAUAAAGUCAACAGCUAUUGUAAGGCUGUCCACGUUCGACGUUGCACCCCAGGACACGAGUUCCCUCGAGGUGGAACUGUCCAAGCAACUUUCCGUGCGCCAGCCACGGCUGCGAUUAGCGUUAAUAUCGAAAAUGGGCCGUCGAACGAAGCCUCGAAGGACGAGGGAGGAUCCGAAGGGACGGAAACCAAUCAAGGAUAUACGUCCGUCGUGCAGGCAAGGGUCCUGCUGCCGUGACCGCUAAGAGAUUACUUACUUGACCUAAUACCUCUACCGAUCGGUUGCAUCGCGAGACCUCGACCGGUUACACAACCACCACUAAUCUAUUCUCCCAUCGAUCCCCGGGGCGGAAAGACUCUAAACUCCCUGACGACACCUUCGCCAGGUCCUGAAAAGAAAUAGACGCUCUUUUAACGAUCGUGUAGAUCUUUUUUUAAAGGGAUUGACAGAUGGGACGCUCUGUCACCGAAUAAUCUACGGUUAUUUUUGUCAAAGAAUUAAAGAAACUUUUGAUAAGAGGUUGGCAAAAGCAUCGAGCAAGCCGCGCGACAUAGAUCAUCGUAUCUCCGCAGGCGAUCGCGACGACGGCGUCGAGAACGACGCAAAGAAGCAGCGUCGUGACGCGCUCGUACCUCGGUGCACCAGGAUGAAACGUUUCCCAGGGAGAGACAGAGGAGAAAGGGUGACGGUUAAUCUUAUCAGAUCGAGGGCGGCUUGCGAGGAGAGCUUCAAAGUGCUAGGCCAAGCCGAACCGACACGACUGCACUGUUAGCGAUGGCUACUGUUUCCCUUCUGUCCAAUUCAAGUAUGAUUCAUAGUAUUCCAAGUACUUUCCCAGUUGCAUCAUCUAAACAACAGGAAAACUAAACGACAUUGUCUAAUCGUUAAAUAUUGGGUCAUCAAAGUUCAUUUUGUGUCUCUUUUAUGUUCAAUAAUUCAACUUUGUUCAACUUUGAACACAUCUUUCUAUGGUUACUUUAAAUCUAUCGCUACUCUGCGAGAACCCGGGUGAUUCUAGGCUACCUCAUUACCGUAAUUAGAGCCUUGACGAUGAUCUCGACGCAACAUCUCGUUGGGUAAACCGGUAGCUGCCGAAGAGGAUUCGAGAAGAAAGAGUCGCGUGUCCAGAUCGAGGAAUCCUCGCGUACUUUAACUAUCCCGCUACUUUCAAGCCGAUAAUUAUUUCCACAUAUAAUCAGCGAAUAGAAAAAUGAAUUUCGUGUGCACGAAACUCGUGGAACGAUGUUGGUGGUUCGUUACGCUGAUCGACGAUCUACCAUCGUUUAGAAUUCGAUUAACGAUCCUAGAUGAUAUCGAUGAACGCCGCUGGUAAUUAAUAAAUGACGCGUCGAUUCCGACGUUUUAAUUGCGCAUCGCGAUCGAUCGAAAGCGAAGUUGGAUCCAAUUAUCCAACCGUUGAUCUUGGAAUAAAUUGGUAAAUGUCUUAAAUGGCUACCAGGAAGUAGGCAUAAAUAGAGGAUCCGUGGAAAGCUUGUCGAGUGAGUCGUUCUGGCGUAGAGGAACGGAUCUGAUGAGCGAUCUGUUCGCUGAUCGCGUCAAAGGACCCGGGACGAUGAUGGAAACGCGAAGGGUGGAUGCGACACGACGCUCGACGUCGGCUCCUCGAAUAGACGCUUCUCGGUCAUCUCUAUUUCCGUCGACGCUGUUCGGGAACCGUUGCGUCACGCACAGGACGCGCAUACAUACGUGAGCGAGUAUCGGCAGAUGCAAAUAACGAGGAUGACGAUUAGCGUCCGGCGACCCGACGACCCCACGGCCGGUGGUCCAAUUUGCGGCUGCUUUGUCCAAUUACCAGCCAUUAGCCAUUACCAAUGCUGGCGCAAGACUCCUACGCCGCUUCUAGCUUCCUCUCCUCACCUACGAACUGCCACCCUCCUCGUCCCUAGACCGUCUUCCAUCGGCUCGAGCAAUCAGUUAGUCCGGAUCAUUUGAUAUUGGAAUAUCGAACGAUAUCAUGUUGAGUAGCAUGAAAUUUUCGCGGUAGCUUCGUUUAAAACCUGAAGGUGAAAUUUCGAUCACGAGAAACUGAAAAUCAAAUAAGUAUUUUUUGAUUAUUAUAUUUAGACCAGGAGGAGUUUACAAGAUAACAGUUUUAUGGAAAUAAAAUGAGAGAGGAUGUAGGUUCUCGCAGAAUAAUCCCGAGUCCAAUAUUCUCGGUUCAUUAAAAUGCCUGCUGGAAGACCGGUUAAACUAUGAAUGAGUUGCUGCCGCAAUAAUAGCGAAACAAGAAAUAGAAAUGCGCAUCUAUCUGGUUCCGUAAGUCGGUGGAGCGGUAGCCUGCCAGCUAUCGUCGAUUUGUCGCGGCCAUUCUUACGGCCGCUUUCGAAUAAGCGGAACACGGUGGGGGAGAAGCGGAGUUGGCACCGGUGGCCUAGGGCCGAUUUGCAUGCAGAACCACGGCUCGAUCGCCGUAAAUUGGAUAAACCGGAUAAUCGGGCCGGAUACGUGUUUUGGCUCGCGUUUGUGGCCGCGUUUUGACGCUCGAUGGCAAAUAGAAACCAUUCUUCAGGGUGAAAAUCGUCGCGGUAUACGUUCGAGGUGUUUCCGUGAAACUGGAACGAUGGAAAGUAAUUCCGUUUUUGUUCUUAACAUUCUGAGAACGAAACGACAGAUAUCGUGUAAAUUUCUCGAAAGAGAAGAAUCCAGUUAUUCCUCGAACAAAGAUCGACGAAGGUUUUACGAGGAUCGUGGAGGGUGUUCGGUUCGUGGCAACAGUACGAUUAUCUCGUUUCCACGGAAUGACCGGAGAAAUGCUACCUUGGGAAACGAGGAGGUGGGCCUGGAUACUCGAAGGGAGCGGCAUAAAAAUCGCGUCGAAUUGCCGGUUACAGGCAGAGGCCGUGGGCCACGAAAUUCGUUCGUCGCUCGUGGUGACUUGAUUGCCGAUCAUUUUCGGUCGCCUUAUCAGCCGCCCAUCGUGGCUGUCGCCUCGAAUACUGGGAUUAUCGUCAUCCGAUCCCGUCCUGUUCGCACCUUCCGUUUAUUCGCUACCAUGCGUGACCCACCCGGAAUGAAUUAUUUUCGAAAAUUAAGAUUCGUUCUUCGCCAAAGUGAUCAUUCAUAUAAUUUCAAGUCAUAUGUCCACGUUCAGGCGUCCAGUUUUCACGGAUGACGAGUUUGGCGAACGAUUUUGUGGGUCUGUAGGGCAGAGGGUAGGACGGACGUGGAAAGAAAGGGAUAACGGAAGGCGCCGCGUUAAUUUCACUUCGAAAAAUCGUAAAAUGCAAAUGAACGAUCGGCAGGACCCGGUUCGAUUGGCAAAUUGCGAGAGAAGGCAGCUCGGUUCCGCGCGCGCGACGGCGCCCAAGGUGGUCGAGUAAUUUUCAUGGUCUUCUCUCCUCGUCCCCGCGGUGCUGCUCCUCCUCCUUCGAGCGAGAACAAAACGAAAAGAAAUAAAAAGAACGCGGAGAAAGAGAAACGAGAGAAGCUUGGAACGAGAAGGAUGAGGAGCGUGCGCUUCGCCAUUCAGUAGAGAGGAGUUUGGCUGCAGGACAUAAAAAUGUGUUGAUUAUAUGUUGCCGCGGUUCCUCGAGCCCAUGGUGUCGUUAAGAAAACACACGACCUGCUGAUCCGGCGAGUCGUUAAACGGUGAGAUGUUCGAGGCUGUGCCAUUAGCGGGAUGACGCCGGUCACCAGGCACCCAUGACGAUUAUUAGGAUGAUAACGACGACGGUGAUGAGUCUGCUUGUGACCGACGAUCGCUUGCCCAUCGGAUCCUUUUUCAGAUGGUCGUCGUAGGUGGUGAAGACCUGUAGCUUUCCAUCGAUUUGGAACAAGAUGGAUCAACUACACCGACGAGAGGAAUAUUUAAGUAUUAGUUUUAAUCAUUUGUUUUAUAAAUCAAUCGAGAUCAAUGAAAUGAAUGAAUCGCGAGAGGGCCCGUGCCCUGACGCUCGCGGUGGCCUCUCAGCUCCGGAUGUAGCCCCCCGCGGUACCGACGCUCCGUUCGUCCGUCCGUCUGUCUGUGUGGCGGAAGAUUCCAAAUAAAUAAAAGGCAAUAAGUGCAGAGGCCCGCGCGAAACCCGUCAUUACGUGAGGCGGGCCCACCUUGUUAGCCCGCUGGGCCUCACUGACCAUAUUCAGCCGCUCAUUCAGCACCCCUUCUCGUAGGAGUGCUGGCGCCUGCGCCGUUAAAAUUGCUGGAAAUUCGUGGAAUUCCUACCUCCGACGUAUCCGCGACUGCACGAUGCUCCUUCGUUCAUCUGCUGCGAGAAAUUUCCAACUGCAGCCUGUAUUUUUCACCACCCCUUCCUCUCCCUUCGCCGUUACUCAUUGAUAAUUUGCAGUUCUAACAGGGAUAUCUUCUUCCAGUUUCUCUAUUUCUCAUCAGGAUAUUUAUGAAUGGAAAUUAGAAUCUUGAAACUUCUAAUCUUACUAUCAAUCUCAAAUUUUUUAAUUGAAAUAUUUUGUUAUAAUAUUUUCCUGUAGAGGAUCAAAGCGAUUUGAAAGAUGAAGGAAAGCCGAGGAACCGCGUUCCUGAAGGGUUUCCUGGUGUAGCCCACGCAGGAAUCGAGACCCACGCCAGUGACGGACCACCAGGAAGCCGCCACGCCCCCGACAGGCCACCUAACCCACACGAUCCGGCUCGCGUGUACGGUGCUGCUGUUGGCGGUGCACCUUGAGGUGGUGCGCGCGAAUGACUCGAACGCGGAGAGAGGAAAAGGUGGUGGCCCUGGCGGGUUAACUAACGCGCGGAAUCGCGCAAACCAGUGCCCCGAGGGUUAGGUGGGAGAAGGAGAAACAAAAAAUAAAAGCUGGGGGAGAUCGAAAGGACCAGGGGCAAAGGGAAACGAAAGGGGUGCAGGUCGAGGAGAGCCGCAAUGGCGGAUCGUACGGUGACUCGUCGCAGGGCUUCCUGUGCCUCGUUCAGGACGAAGAGGCGUGUCAGGGGAUGAAGAAGCGGUGUCGACAGAAUAAUCGUCGGCUUCGCGACGGAUUUGUCCCGUACAAACAGACGAGCACGAGGGAGAGACAGGGAGAGCCUCAAACAACCCCUCUGGGCUACCAUCUUCCUCCAUUGGGAGGAUCCUUUUCGAGGUGUCAAAAUUAACCAUAUUUGAUGAUUUUACUUAAAUUUAGAUUUCAAAAUAGCGGAGUAUCCCUGCAAGGUUCUGUCCGACGCGUGUCUAACAUUCAUUCCACUAAUUAAUCCGAACUGAUUUUCCAAACUCGAUCCUCGAAGCCAAUAUUCGCAACUCAUCCUUGGACGACUUCCAAACUUUACCUUCUUAACGUAGGAUCCUGAUUGAAAAUGCUAAGGAAGUUUCCCGGAUCCAUCUUACAGAGUUCUGGCGACCGUCAAGGGACCACAACGCUAAUUAUAGCGACUAAUUAAGAUUCUCCGAAACUUGAGCGAAUCUCAUCGCAGGAUUUUUCACGUUCUAACGACGUAAUGUUUACAGGUACGUCACUGCGGUAUUAUCCCGAGGAGGCAUCGCGUGGGUCGAUGGCAGGUGGGAAGAUGAAGGGGUGUGCACCAGGAAACACUCUGCAAUUAGAACAGACACGACGUGGGUGAGUGAAGCUAGACUGUAAAUCAAUCUGUACCAAAGUUGCGACAGCCUCGGGGAAAGAAGCGAGCAUCUGCGAGCUGAUUCGUCGAAGAGGAUUUUCUUGUAUCAGCUUUCUAUCGAAAACAUUCGUUUCUAUGAUAUUUCCUUCGACCCCGUGAACAUUCCCAAUCGAUGAACAAGCAAUUCCUCGUAACAGAUGUCAAAAAUUAAUUGCCCGUUCCGGGUAAAGGCAAUAUAAACGCGCGCACGUGACAAGAAGAAGCUGCACGAAAGGAAACUCGAUAAAAUCCGAGCAGAGAUUCGUCACGGUGCCGAUAACCGGUGGAAGAUCGUAGAACCACCCCUGACGGACGGUUCUCUGACAAAUAGACGAGACCACAGCGAACCAUCAGGUCCGAAGGGGUGGUCGGGGGUGGGAGAGCGAGGAAAGCUCCUAGGCGAAUUCAUAGACGGCCAGGAAUGCGCAAUAUUGUCGGCAGUCUGUCACGCAUUCGAUCCGGUUCCAAGACGAGAUACCAUGGACCGAUCGUGGUGGUUUUAUUACGCGGGUCCCGCGGUGGCCCGCAGAUGUAUCAGACAAUAAACUACGGCCUGUUUGGGAUUUGUGGGCCGCGUAUUAAUCUUCCCAUAUUUAUGUCGGCCCCACAAGAAAAAGCGACCGGAUCAACGGGGUGGACGCGGUCGACCCUGUAAAAGAAGGAGCAGCACGCUCGCGCGACGAAAGCAUCGAUUUUAGAUAAAAUCGGUUUACCCUUGAAAGAAAAAAAAAGAGGGGGAUUCGAUGGUUAAACGGUCUGGAUGUGGACUAUGCUGUUCUAAAUGCAAUCUGUCGAAGGAAAAGGUAAAGGUAAGGGUUGAAAUAAUACUUCCAAUCAAUGAUAUUUUGUUAGUAUACUUUUUAUUUUCGGGGUGGAGGAAUUAAUUCUUAAAUUGAUCUGUAAGUACUAUUUUACAUUACUUUUGAAUUAUCCAAACGAGUCAGACUUUCAACGUUUGAAAAUGUACCUUUUGAUAUGCAGUCGAUGGGUCAAGAACGUUGCCUGUUUCGUAUUUUUCCUGAAGCAGGUGCAGAUCGACGUUAUGUUAAUGGGCUUUCAAGAGAUUUCAGCUAACCAUAUGCCAAGGUAGCGGGGAGAGGGUAGAAAUACUAAUAGAAGCCCUUCGCAGAAGCAAGCUCGAAUAAACGAUGCCUCGUCCAGCGAGGUCCAAUCAUUUCUGACCGCCUAAGAAACGUUCUGGCUGCUCGGAACGGAAGCCAAUUUGUAAAUUGCCUCGAUAAACCACCAAACCGAUGCUGAAUUUGUGGCCGGGCAUUUUUCUACCCCCGCUGUUUAUACCGCUUUUUUUUUCUAUGCCGUUCCGCGCUUGUAAUUAGGGAGCUUCUGAAUUUUAUUCGAUGCUGAAAAGCUGUAUUAGAAUUCCUUUUUCUCUUCCAAUGAAAGCUUUUAGUUCUUGCUUCCAAUUUCUCAAAUUUUCCAAUUCUUCUACUAAAAAUGAUCGUUUAUUCAUCUCAAUGUUUCUAUACUCCUUCUUUUUCAAAUUGAUGUACGACAUUCACCUGGUUCGUUUUCCACCUUUCUCCGAGCAGAUGUCCAUUUCCAAAAUACUCAUCUAACAACUGUCGCAACCGUCCAAUUUAUCCCCGAAAUUCUUCCCAUUUAUCCCCCCUGAGCCAUCGUAACAAGUGCGUGUAUCAUCCUCUUAGUUUUUUUCAACCCCAGACGUCGAUCAUAGAUAAACCUGUAUCAAGAUGACACAUGGUGAAUCCUCGACGGGUAUUUUUCUUUUUGCACCCGAAUCUCUAUCAAGAGACAGAAGGGGUUUAUUCGAGGGUUCGUUCUAUGAUUAGCAGAGAUAAGAAUCAAGUUAUCUCGCCAUUCCGCGACGAGGAGCCGCGUAACGCAACCGCUGACGCCAUUAGAAUAUCGUGGCCGCAUACCGAGGCACCGAAAAUGAAUGCCUGGAGAAGGAAAAGGGGUGACAGGGGCGGUCGAAAUGGAAGGGGGUUAGCAGGAUCGCCGGCGCCUUUGACCAGGAACCCCGUGGCGCGUGACAUGCCUCGUCUGACCGCCAUUUAGCGUGAACCUGUCUCUGUAGCCAGCCACUCGCCUCCAGGAUGACCGUUUUGUUUUCCAAAACGAAAUCCUUCUACCUCUAUAAACAGUCUUCCAUCAACAGGGGAAAUUAUGGGGGUUGAACUACCCCUGUGCCCUUCCUGUGAAUUUUCACGUGAUUCGAUGACUUAAAAGUUUUGCUAAAUGGCACUUGUGGCAUAUCGAUUUAAAGCUUGAAGUAUAAUGAAAAUGACUGCAUAAAUGGUACACAGAUAUUUUAAUAAUUAUCUCAAUAAUUUUUAUUCCAAAGAAGGAAUGGUUGAAAUUCUUCUUCCGAGCAAAGUGCUCCCUGGACGCUGCUCCAUUUCGCCCACGCGAACUUGUCCGAUCUCGUAGUUCGCCCGGUCGAAAUUUCUACGGUGGUUGUAGUGGUGGCCGGGCUGCGGUAGUGGGUCCCGGAGUUAUGUUACGGCCGGCCAUAAACGAAAUGAGAAAACUGUCCGGUCGCCGUUGAAAAAUCUCCGCGGAAUACAAAUGCUUGAUUUUUUCGGGCGGCGUUCGCUUUUUGUCGACCGUGCCUACGAGGAUCUCUCGUGCCCUCGGGGAAACGCUGUACGCUCGACAAAUGAUACGCCGAUCGUAACGAGAGAACGGUAAUAAUAAUCGUUUAGCUGUCGUGUAUCCUUUGAUUCCGUGGCCGAUUUUUAUUUUAUCAUUCGUGAAACGAUUCUUCAAAAUUUCGAAGUUGAACAAGUUGGGACCGCGUUGAAAAAUUAACUAAUAAAUUAAAGAAGCUUCUGGGGACAGUCGCGUCGAUCUGAAUAGGGGGCAGUCGAUCGAGCUUUUCUUUCGAUUCAUGGCUCGCAAUUAAUCUCGAUCUCGUUCCCGUAGCAUGCUGCCGGCGCGGUCGUUAAUUCGGCGCUGACGAAGGGGACGGAGUGGAGGGCCUGAAAGAAGGCCCCCCAGUACCCCCUCUCACCGUUCCGCUUGUAAGAAGCGAACACGAUGACAUUCGUACGGGCCCGAGAAAACGAGUCGGGCUACAUGGAAGCCUACACGAGCGAACGGACGAUUCGGAAUCAGAUGUUAUCUUUGACGAGGGCUGCCGCUGGUGGGGGAGCUCGGGGCCCUUUCUCGGUGCCCCGCGCCAAGAUACGGAUCUCCUUGGCGCCACCGUCUCUCCCAGGCUCUUCCAGCGGGCCAAGCAAGUAGCGAUGCCCGCUCGAUUCCUCUAUUUUACUUCGUUUAAUUGCACUUUCGGUACGCGUUGCUUUGUAAAAAUCCAGGGGUCGUGUAAUUCUUACGAUCCUCAGGACCCUAAACUAACGAGCCGGUCUAAUAUUCAAUUUUUCUUUAUCUAUGUACAGUGGAUCGCAAAAGUAUUCGCGCACCGUUUAAAAUAGAAUACCUCAUUUAAAAUUGGACCAAAUGAUUUGAGGUUUCUCGAGAAGAUUUAAAUUGUGAUGUUAAAAAAUUUUGAAAAAAAAUAGUGGAGGGUAACAUAAUUUGUACUUAUGGUGAUUAGAAAUUAAUAUCAUUUCUAAUAAUAAUUAAUAUUAUUCUUCUUUUGAUAUUUCCUGGUUUCUCUCGAUCGAGCUCCCUGGUUCUCGUGUCACGAAUAAAGGCACGAUUGCCCGGCGUCAAAUUAACCGCGUUUCCCUGCAUCGAAGCACGGUAACUCGCUAUCCAAGCGGAUUAAUGUCACCAGAACACGAGCGGAAUCGUGUCCCGUGAGUGAAUUCGAUCGAAGCCUCGAUACCGAGGAUCAUCCAGGUACACGAGACGACACGCGCGGACGAUAACGAACAGCACCGGGAGCGAGGAAAAGGAAAAGGAUACAGAGUCCCGUUAUCAAUCGUUGAAACUUCGUUUCGACGGAGGAGACAAAGCAGACCGGUGCUGGCACCCCGCUGGGGUAUCGGUUACGCUUAAACCGCGUUUAGGGCCCUCGAAAGCCGGCUCCCCGAGACCCAACAGGAGCCCUGUCUCGCAGUGAUGGACUUAAGAGGGCCCGAAUCACUUGCUACGCUCCACCAGUUCGCUUCGUUUUAUUUGUUUGCCAGGCCGUCAUCGCUUCUAUCCUGAGGACACCUUUCGUCUUGUAAUUAAAACGUACUUUUUGUGUCCCUCAUUAGAUAAAUGAAGCAGCAGGGUAACUAGAGAAAGUCAGGGGGGGAUAAUUCGUCCCCCUAUUAAGAAACAAAAAAUCUUUCUCUUCUAAUAAAUAGAAUAUUUUGAGAAAUUUAAGAAAAUCUCUAUCUGAAAUAUGAAUCUGGUUUGCAAGUUCUUACGAAUAUCAACUAAUUGACCAAUCCCAAUAAAUUCCAUCGUGAGAUGAACUUCUAAUAACAAUAGACGUAUUUUUUCAAGCAAUAAAAUAACAGAAGGCAAGAAAUUGAACGGCGCGUUUGUGACUUAAUGGGUCAGGUAAAUCGGAGUAUGUUUGAUAAAUACGGCUAAUGCCACGUACGUUUGAACAAUGGAAAAUUGCGUGCAUACGUCGCCAUGUUUGAAACAGAUAAAGCGUAUAACUCAUGACUAGUCGGGGUACGAUGCAAAUAUCGAGAACAAUGAAACGACGAGGCUCGCAUUAAUUAAGUCGUAAGCAGAAUAGAGAGACGUUCUUCGAUUCGUUGAUCGAGCGUCUCGCAAGGAGCCGAGCUAAUUGGCUCUCUAACCAAAUAAUUGACAGUAAGUAGGAAAUGAGAAGUUAUUCCUCGUAGGAGUUGUUUGUCGUCUCCCACUUUUCUUUCGCCUCCCUCCUUGAAUCGCUAUCGCGAAUCGACGGCCGAAUUAACGAGCGAACGUGGUAAUUAACGGUAACCAAGCAAUCGAAGCCGCCAUUUUACCGGAAGCUUCUCCGCGGUAUCAACGCGCUUCUUGCUUUUCUCUUUUAAACAAACCCCAUUAGCUAAUCGUACGAAUCGUAGAAGAAGUUGACCGCGUGAAAAACAGGAUUGAAAGGGUCGAAAUAAUUGGUAGAUAAUCUUCCGGAGGGGUUUGUCUCGCUCAAGUACCACUGUCCUCGACAAAAAUUACCGCAAUAGGCUUAUUGCGACCUCGAAGGAUUUCCCUUGCUUCUGUUCUCUGCGUAGGAUCAUUUUUCCACGUAAUCCUGAUAAACUGGAACCGUGCUGAACGAUCCUAAGUCCCAGAGGCUUUGGUUAAUCGCGCGCGGUUGUAACAAUCCUGUUGUUCCAUUCUAUAGAAAAAUUCAUACAAGUCGAAUUAUUUACACUUGACUGAUUAAUCGUUGGUGUACCGAAUGUUUUUAUUUCAAGAAAAAAGAAAAUAUAGGUGUAAUAUAAUCGAAGAGGGUAAGAAUCAUAAUGGUUCCGGAGAAGAUAGGCUGGCGCCGUCGAAGAUGGCCAUGGAAAACGCCCAGUCUAGCUAGGAUGACGUUGUAAAUAUUUUCUGUCAUUGGCGGCUCCGUGUCAGAGGCCGUCUUGUCUUCGCUUUAAUAAAGGUACUGGCAGCGUAGGUACCUCUUUUGGAAAGCGUGUCACCUGAGCCUGGUAUCGGACACUGAUGGUGCGGAUAGCGGCGCUUUGUGUCUUUCGUGUACCCCUCACGCUCGAAAAGAUCACCGGCCCUCAAAAGACCUGCCCUCGCCAUUCAUCACUUCCGCUCUCUUUUGGUCCCCGGCAGCAGCGAAAAAGUCAAUCCGCAGAUCUUGUGUGCGAAGGAGAAGAAAACUUUUGUGGACGAAAAAAGGAAGUACCAUUUUUUUUUCUCUUUUUAUUGGGAUGCGAAUUUUUUAAUUAACCAAACUCUAUUUUCUAGAAUUUUUAAAUAUUAAAUUUAUUUUUCGAAAUCAAGGAUCCAAAUACACUUAAGUUUAUUCCAUAGGUUCUUGUCCACCUCCCAUCCAGAGCAAGAUUCCAUGAUCGUUCAAUGGUAAAUUCGCUAAUUUGCACUUGCAACACUUGUCGCAAGAUGUUCGCGUAAAAGGCACACUCGAAUGUGUCCGGCGUCGUUUGCGUCGAGGCGGCAGAAAAGGUAAUUUGCAGAUUCCAACGAACAGGUUUUAACUGAACACAGUCGGGGUGCUAAUUUGUCCCGACGCGGAGAUAAGGAUCUGGCAAAAAGGGUUUGACACAAAACGAAGCAAUUAAAAUGAUAAUGCGACCAGGCAGGAUCGUCUUUUAUAGCGUCCUAGAGAAACUCUAUGAAGAACCGACACAGAUUUCACGGAGGAAUCUAAAUUGCAAACAGUUUCGUCAGAACUGACUCUGGUACCGUUCCGAAUUUAUGUCCCUUCGCGAUGUAGC